AGGGGAACGAGCUUUGUUUAUAGCACAAGUGAAACUCCACUUUAUUGAACGAUGGGGUCUCAAAUGGGCUGCCUCUUUGCCACUCUUUUGGUAGUAUCAGUCUCUCUUAGCUACUUGCCGUUAGAAGCCUCCGCAAACAAAUACUACUACACAUCUCCUCCCCCUCCCAAGUACAAGUCUCCACCACCACCCCCGCCACCGGUUCACAAUUCUCCACCACCACCCCCGGUUUACCUGCCCCCGCCACCUCCUCCACCAGUCUACGUGCCUGCUCCGGCACCAACUCCAAUUUUCCCUUCUCCGCCACCUCCUGUCCCCAAGUCCCCACCACCACCUCACCCUUACGUCUAUGCAUCUCCCCCUCCUCCUUACUACUACUAGAAAGCGGCCAUGAAUAGCUCAUGCUUUUAUGGUAAUCUCAUUUAUUUUUAAAACUGUACAUGUAAAGACUAGUAGUUCAGAAUUACAUUAAGCAUUUCAAUUUUAAGCACCGUGUUCUGUUUAAUUGCGUUCCUAUUGAUUAAGUGACAAAUAAAAGAGAUUGAUUAAUUUGUUCUUGUAGGAGAGGCGAAUGGUAUCCGAAUAAAGAAAGCAAGGAUUUGAUGGAAGGCUUACUUGGAGCAAGAUAGCAAUCAAUCGAGUUGCUGCGUUUUAUUCUCUUUUCUCUUUGUUUUUUAAGAAAAAUAAACUGCCACACGUAGAAACAGAAAAUUAAGUUCUUGUCAUUUUCAUGCAUAUGGAUUGUUGCUGUGUGUGUCAAUCAAAUCUCCGUUGUGUCAUUUGUAAUUUUCAACCUUUAUGCAUGCAAAUGCGAGACCUCUUACGUAUAAUAAAAUUAAUAUACUUCCCAAGAUGGUCUUAUCUUGCGUUGACUUUUUACGUUCCUUUGGUGAUGAUUUUGACGUUUGAAAUUGAUGACUAUUGUUUUUGUAAACUCUGACAUGGAUUUUUCGUGCAACUAAAGAGCGCAUUAAUGAGAGGCUUAUCCAUGAGGGUCCAUGCAGAUCAGUGUCUAAUUAACCAAUAAUUAAUAUAACUUAAAAAAUAUAGAGUUAACAAUUUUUAUGGGUUAGGCUCAAUUGCAGAUGUUCGUACAAAAUUUCUUGCUAAUGUAUACUUGAGUAUGAUAAUAAGUUUUAAUCAUUAUUAAUAAUUCACUUGAUAAUAUUAAACAAAUUUUCAUAUCAAUUAAGUUACAAAAUUUCUGUGACAAAUUUCCACGUACUGGAACCAUGCAAAAGGACUUUAUUCAAACAAAGCUGCAUAGCCGUUGGCAAUUAAAAUUAUUUAUCAAUUACGUUAAGUAGUAAGAAUUGGAUUGUGGAUUCCAUUAAUUAUUUCAAGGAAAAUUUUAUAGAUAAUGCCGUAAUGAAAUUUACGGCAUCAAUACCAUGAUAAAUAUAAAUAUUGUAAAUUACAAAGAGAAUUAGUAAAUGUAAAGUAAAACCAGUAAAUUCAUAAAAGAUUAUUAAUUAUUUAAAAAAUUAACAUUGUUUCUACAUAAUUUUAGUGAAAAAUAUUUUAUUCAUUUACAAAAACAUUUCUUUAAUUAAACAAAAAAAAUUCAUUAAUUAAGCAAAAAAAUUAUACUGAAAAAAAAGUGGAAUAAGUUUAAUUGAAUUGGUUAUCAUAAAUUCUAUAUUUAGUCUAGGACAUUUGUAUACAUUUUUUUUUCCCAUUUUCGAUAAUGAUAUCUAUUUGUUACACAUGUUAAUUAAGUGCAAUUAUUUAUCUUGAUGUGGACCAAGUAAAAAAAAAAAAAAAAAAGAGAUAUCAAUAAAAUUAGAUCUAAUUUUGAAUAUUAUGUAUACUUUAUGUAGUUUCAAACUUUUUACUUGUAUUUGGAGACCAUUUAAGGUUGUUGUUGAAGAAGUGUAGAAAGAUGUAAAAUAACUUCAUCUUACAAUAACUAUGAAAGAUAUUAAAAUAAUAUUUUUUUCAAAAUCCGAUUUUGAGAAAAAAUUUCAUCCUUAAUUAAACAUCACAUGUAUUAUAGAAAUGCAAAACUACCAUUGUUAUAUUUAAAUUAAAAAAUAAUAAAUAUAUAAGGUAAUAAACAUUAUAACGAGUUUUUAUUUUAAAAUUGUAAACUUUUGUUUCUGACAAUAACUCUUAUAUUAAUUAAUUUAUUUUGCAUUUUAUUCAUAAGUUUUAUGCAUAAUCUACAAACUUUAUGUUUUAUUUUGCAUUUAAUGUUGAUUUGGUUUUUUUAUAUUAUACGUAUAAGUUUUCAUUUUAUUUACCAGUAAUACAUCAAUUUAUCAGUUUUAUUGUAAUUUACUUAUUUUACCUUCCUUUUACAAUUCUUAUGUUUCAUUUUCAAAAUUUAUGUUUUAUUUUACAGUUGUUGAUGAUUUACUAGUUUUAUGUUAUGUUUGCAAGUUUUUGUUUUGUUUACUAGUAAUAGAUUAAUGGGUAAUUUUUAAUUGAGUCCUCAUUAGUUCUAGAAAAAAAAUUCAGAGACCAGAAGUUUACUAAAUGAAUCAAUUAAAUUCUUUCAAGUACAAACUAAUGUCAUUCAAGUCCUUAACUUAAUUGCUCAGUUAAAAAUAUUAACAACAUUGAGGACAUUUUAGUAAAACAACAAUUGAGUCGUUUCUCAUUCUUUAUUUUUGACAGGUGGAAAUAGUUUAAAGUUAACUCAAUUAACCUGAUUAAGUUAAGGAUCAGUUCUUUCAAAAGAAAAAAAAAAAAAGACCUACAGAAACUGCCAUAUUCUUCGUGUGAGAGGAGAGAUCGAGAGAACGUGGGAUGGUGCAAAAAAUGUUGUAUAAAACUACUGUGAUUUUGACCAAAGCUUUGGUAGCAUUGAUUGAGUUCAAGUACUGGAGAGAACCUAAGUUUAAAGGUUAGUAACUCUAUUUUUUUAGUGAUUUCUGCAAGCAUUUUCUGAUAAAAAAUUUUCCAUAUUGAGUGAUCGUUGUGAAAAAUUAAGUUUUUCAAGUCUAUUUUUCAAAAUGACAAACUAUGUUUAAUUAUUGGUGGAUUCUUUUUUUUUGUUCAAUGUUGUAUUUUGUUAAUUUGUUGUUUUUAAUUUGCUCUUUAUGUAAUUGUUAGACCAAAUACACCAUUAUUAUACUUGUAUUCAUUUCAACAAUUUGGUAUCAUUAUAUUAAUAAGAUUGAAUUCAUUGUAUUUGCUUCUUUGUUCAUGUAAAAUUGAAUUCUAUGUAUUCUUAUGAGUGAUAAUUUUUCUAUCUAUUAGACUAAAUUCACUAUAUUCACUACUUUCUUUCUUUUUGCUGGGCUAUUUUUUUCUUUUUAGUUUAUAUUUUUUAUAUGUAUUAGAUUGAAUUUGCUUUUGUAUGUUUUUUUCGCCAAAUUGCAUGUAUAUUUCAUUUAGGUUGAGUUUUUUUUGUUGUUUGCUAAAUAAAAUUAUAUUGGUUUAUCCUUUUUUGAUGCAAUACUUUUGUUUAAAAUUAAUACAGGUAGCCAUGUUACCUUUUUUUCGGUUAAAAUUAAUGGGGUGAUGUAUGCGAUAGGAUAUAGGGAACCAGAGGAAUAUAAGAUUAUUAGGCUGUUUCUUGAAAUUCAAGAUGUCAUGGUUAAGCAUGGACACAUUGAAAUGGAUUUGAUUGAAAUUUUUGUUGUAUUGCCAUGGACUACAAGUAGGCAGAGGAAGCUAAUUUCAAACGAUAGUGAAUUGUAUUGGGUUUUCGAGGUGUUUUUUUUAUCAAUAGUUGUCCUGUCAUUGAGUUUGAGGUGCACACUGGGUCAGGUGGUCAGUUAUUUCAUGAAAGUGUUGUAAUAGGACCUGAAAAUCCUGUCAAUAUUAAAAAUUAGCGUUGUAAUAGUGAUAAGUUUGAAAAUCCUGUGGCUAAAAAGGGUUUGCCUAGAAUAAUUGGUUCUUCUUUAUUUGCCUCAAAGUCCAACACUAUGAAAUCCACUAGGAAAAAGAAUUUAUCCACUUUAACCAGCACGUCUUCAAUCUUACCUUCAGGAUAAGCAUGAGAUCUGGCAGCACAUUGCAAUGUCACUGUGGCUGGUCUGACUUCUCCAACUCCCAAUUGCUUGAAUUCUAAUAAUGUCAUAAGAUUGAUGCUUGGUCCCAAAUAGGGAUGACAAUUGUACCCGCAAACCCGCCCAAACCCACCUGCCAAAACCCGCCCAUUGCGGGUAAUUUUACCCAUUGCGGGCGGGUUUAGUAUUAUAAAUUAAAACCCGCGCAUGGAUGUGGGUGGGUUUAGUAUUAACCUUAUAUCCGGUGGAUACCCGCAUGGAUAUCCAUCAAACCCGCAAUAUUUUUUUUCAAAUAUUUUUAAUUUAAUUUAAAUAUAAAAAUGUAUAAAGAAAAUAAUGUCAUUAAUCAAAUUACCAAAUAGACAAAGGCUCAAAGUUGUGUAUGUGUGUAUGUGGCCCAUCUCUUAUUCUAAAGUCAUAACCUAAAGAAAACUAAAGGCAUUUCCCUUCGAAUUAGUAUUUAAAAAUAUUAAUCUUAAUUAUUAUUAUAGGCAUUGUGUUGGAUGGGUGCUUAUGGUGGUGAAUGAAAUGAAUAUCUUCUCUUGGAUCUUGUUUUAAAUGAUAAUAUGAAAUGUAAUUAUUAUUUUUAGAUACUAGUUUGUGUUUUUAAAAUAGAUUUGUGUAAUUUAUACUUAAAUUUGAGAAUUUGUAUUGAAUUGAUGUGGAAAUUUUAAUUUUUCAUUGACAUUGUUUAAAUAUAAAAUUGAGUAUGCUAUUUGGAAUUUGAGGUUAUUAUUAUAAAUUUAUAUAUUAAAUAUUUGUGAUUUUAAAUACGAAAACCCGCAAAAAUUCCGCCGGAUACUAUUGCGGGUUUGGUAAUUAUUAAAACCCGCUGCGGGUGGGUUUUUAAAAAAAAAUUAAAACCCGCGGCGGGUUGCGGGUGGGUUUAGUAAUUUAAAUUUUGUGCGGGUUUGGGUUUGAUAAUGGCAAAUCCGCUGCGGGCGGUGCCCAUUGCUAUCCCUAGUCCCAAAUCACAAAGUGUCUUGCCACUGUAUUUAGUUCCUAUGGAACAACGAAUUGUGAAACUUCCUGGAUCAUUCAACUUUUGAGGCAUUUUACUCUGAAGCAUAUGGCUGAAUUCUUGUGUUAGACCAACUAUUUCAACUAUUUCAAAUUAUUUGCCUCAAAGUCCAACACUAUGAAAUCCACUAGGAAAAAGAAUUUAUCCACUUUAACCAGCACGUCUUCAAUCUUACCUUCAGGAUAAGCAUGAGAUCUGGCAGCACAUUGCAAUGUCACUGUGGCUGGUCUGACUUCUCCAACUCCCAAUUGCUUGAAUUCUAAUAAUGUCAUAAGAUUGAUGCUUGGUCCCAAAUAGGGAUGACAAUUGUACCCGCAAACCCGCCCAAACCCACCUGCCAAAACCCGCCCAUUGCGGGUAAUUUUACCCAUUGCGGGCGGGUUUAGUAUUAUAAAUUAAAACCCGCGCAUGGAUGUGGGUGGGUUUAGUAUUAACCUUAUAUCCGGUGGAUACCCGCAUGGAUAUCCAUCAAACCCGCAAUAUUUUUUUUCAAAUAUUUUUAAUUUAAUUUAAAUAUAAAAAUGUAUAAAGAAAAUAAUGUCAUUAAUCAAAUUACCAAAUAGACAAAGGCUCAAAGUUGUGUAUGUGUGUAUGUGGCCCAUCUCUUAUUCUAAAGUCAUAACCUAAAGAAAACUAAAGGCAUUUCCCUUCGAAUUAGUAUUUAAAAAUAUUAAUCUUAAUUAUUAUUAUAGGCAUUGUGUUGGAUGGGUGCUUAUGGUGGUGAAUGAAAUGAAUAUCUUCUCUUGGAUCUUGUUUUAAAUGAUAAUAUGAAAUGUAAUUAUUAUUUUUAGAUACUAGUUUGUGUUUUUAAAAUAGAUUUGUGUAAUUUAUACUUAAAUUUGAGAAUUUGUAUUGAAUUGAUGUGGAAAUUUUAAUUUUUCAUUGACAUUGUUUAAAUAUAAAAUUGAGUAUGCUAUUUGGAAUUUGAGGUUAUUAUUAUAAAUUUAUAUAUUAAAUAUUUGUGAUUUUAAAUACGAAAACCCGCAAAAAUUCCGCCGGAUACUAUUGCGGGUUUGGUAAUUAUUAAAACCCGCUGCGGGUGGGUUUUUAAAAAAAAAUUAAAACCCGCGGCGGGUUGCGGGUGGGUUUAGUAAUUUAAAUUUUGUGCGGGUUUGGGUUUGAUAAUGGCAAAUCCGCUGCGGGCGGUGCCCAUUGCUAUCCCUAGUCCCAAAUCACAAAGUGUCUUGCCACUGUAUUUAGUUCCUAUGGAACAACGAAUUGUGAAACUUCCUGGAUCAUUCAACUUUUGAGGCAUUUUACUCUGAAGCAUAUGGCUGAAUUCUUGUGUUAGACCAACUAUUUCAACUAUUUCAAAUUAUUUGCCUCAAAGUCCAACACUAUGAAAUCCACUAGGAAAAAGAAUUUAUCCACUUUAACCAGCACGUCUUCAAUCUUACCUUCAGGAUAAGCAUGAGAUCUGGCAGCACAUUGCAAUGUCACUGUGGCUGGUCUGACUUCUCCAACUCCCAAUUGCUUGAAUUCUAAUAAUGUCAUAAGAUUGAUGCUUGGUCCCAAAUAGGGAUGACAAUUGUACCCGCAAACCCGCCCAAACCCACCUGCUAAAACCCGCCCGUUGCGGGUAAUUUUACCCAUUGCGGGCGGGUUUAGUAUUAUAAAUUAAAACCCGCGCAUGGAUGUGGGUGGGUUUGGUAUUAACCUUAUAUCCGGUGGAUACCCGCAUGGAUAUCCACCAAACCCGCAAUAUUUUUUUUCAAAUAUUUUUAAUUUAAUUUAAAUAUAAAAAUGUAUAAAGAAAAUAAUGUCAUUAAUCAAAUUACCAAAUAGACAAAGGCUCAAAGUUGUGUAUGUGUGUAUGUGGCCCAUCUCUUAUUCUAAAGUCAUAACCUAAAGAAAACUAAAGGCAUUUCCCUUCGAAUUAGUAUUUGAAAAUAUUAAUCUUAAUUAUUAUUAUAGGCAUUGUGUUGGAUGGGUGCUUAUGGUGGUGAAUGAAAUGAAUAUCUUCUCUUGGAUCUUGUUUUAAAUGAUAAUAUGAAAUGUAAUUAUUAUUUUUAGAUACUAGUUUGUGUUUUUAAAAUAGAUUUGUGUAAUUUAUACUUACUUUUGAGAAUUUGUAUUGAAUUGAUGUGGAAAUUUUAAUUUUUCAUUGACAUUGUUUAAAUAUAAAAUUGAGUAUGCUAUUUGGAAUUUGAGGUUAUUAUUAUAAAUUUAUAUAUUAAAUAUUUGUGAUUUUAAAUACGAAAACCCGCAAAAAAUCCGCCGGAUACUAUUGCGGGUUUGGUAAUUAUUAAAACCCGCUGCGGGUGGGUUUUUAAAAAAAAAUUAAAACCCGCGGCGGGUUGCGGGUGGGUUUGGUAAUUUAAAUUUUGUGCGGGUUUGGGUUUGAUAAUGGCAAAUCCGCUGCGGGCGGUGCCCAUUGCCAUCCCUAGUCCCAAAUCACAAAGUGUCUUGCCACUGUAUUUAGUUCCUAUGGAACAACGAAUUGUGAAACUUCCUGGAUCAUUCAACUUCUGAGGCAUUUUACUCUGAAGCAUAUGGCUGAAUUCUUGUGUUAGACCAACUAUUUCAAAUUCUCCGAGCCUCAUUUUCCUUGCCAAUAUACAUUUCCAAAACUUUACAUAAUUUGGCAUUUGUUCUAAUGCUUCUACAAAAGGAAUGUUGAUAUGCAGUUAUUUCAAUACUUCCAAGAAUUUACUGAACUGCUUGUCUUGCUUUCGCUUUUGAAAUCUUUGUGGGAAGGAUGGUGGAUGUGUAAAUUGUUGUACUGCAGCAGACUAUACAUAUUGCUUUUCUCUUGCUCUAUUAUGGUAUGAUAUUGUUGGUGCUGCAGCUUCUUCCUCAACAAGCACUGAAUCAUGUUUUUUUUGCAGUUGCUAUAACUUAGCAACUCUCACCAGUGUGCUGGAAAAUGGGUUGUUGUGUCUCUUCUUUAAUUUGAGUUUCCCCUUGGGUUGAAUUAGGUUCCACUCUUCUUUUUAGUACUUUAACAAGUAUAUGAACAUCCUUUCCAGACCUUAAGUUAAUCCCCUUACAAUGCUCUUUUCCUUCCCUCUUUCGAUCCUCUGUAUUGUUUAGUAAAUUGUCCUGAGGUAUGUUGCUCAAUGUUGUAGCAAGCUGUCCAAUCUUAUUCUCCAAGUUUCUUAAAAAUACAGCUUGGCUUUAGACCACUACUUCAAUCUUCACAAUAUACUCCUUAAUCAGAGUUUCAAUGGAACUAAAUUGAUCAUUACUGGUGUUUCUUUACCCUUAAAAUUUCUGGUGAAAAUCAGGUGGUUGAGCAAGUCAGUUCUGUCCACUGGAUGCUGCAGCAUGCUGAUUCUGAUUGCUCCUUUUAAAAUUUGGGUGAUGUCUCCAUCCUAGGUUAUAGGUGUUUGAAAAUGGAUUGCUUUGAUUUUGUUUAUUAAAAUUGCCCACAUAAUUGACGGAAACUGAAUUCCUAGGACAAUUAUCAUAUAGAUGUCCCUCUCCAUAAUAAACACAAGAGACUUCAGCAAUUUGGUUAACUGUUGUUGGAGCAGUGGCCGUUGCUUUUACCAUAUUUGUCAAUGAGGUUACUUGGGCUGAUAAUGUUGUCAGUGCAUCCACAUUGUGUACUCCUGCUGCUCCUCUCACUAUGGCUUGUCUAGUUGAUGGCCAUUGAUAGUUAUCCUUUCCAAAAUUUCAUAAGCCUCAUUAUAUGAGUUAAACAAUAAAGCCCCUAGUUAUUGAGUUCAACCCAUUGUAGAAAGUUUCCAAUUGUAUGCAAUAAGGAAUACCAUGAUGAGGGCAUCUCCUGAGUAACUCCUUGAAUCUUUCUCAUGCAUCAUACAAGCUUUCAUCUUCAAGUUGAUGGAAAGAUGUGAUCUCAUUCUUCAACUUUGCAUUCUUUGUUGGUGGGAAAUAUUUCAUCAAAAUUUUGUCAGCCAAAUAAUUCCAUGUGGUGAUGGAGUCUGGUUGCAAAGAACUCCACUGUACCAACUAAAAUUGAUUUCACAAAACACAAUAAGCACCAAUCCCUGGCAACGGCGCAAAAAACUUGUUGUCGAUUUUCUAAUGUUAUUAGUGUCAAUGUGAAAAUGUACACAACAAGUAAUAUAACGAUAAGUAUUCACUCCACAAGGAUUAUUAUUAUAGGAAUUGCUACAGUAAUUCUAUCAGUGCCAUUCUUAUUAUAAAUUAGAAUUUAAACAAAUUAUUCAACUAAUGAACUAAGGCAGAUCUUAUUGGGCUAGUCGGCAAUGUGUUGCUUUAGGUCAUGUGGAAUAGUUGCGGGAGUGAUCUUGCAUGAUGUGUGGAGCUAUAACAGUGCUGAGCAUGGGCCAAUCUAUGGGCUUAUGGAACUAGCGAACCUAAUCUAGAAUUUCGAGGAAGAGUACUCUGGUUAGUACUCUAAAUUACCUUAUUAUAUUUUGCACAAACAGAGGCAUGUUAGUGAAAUAAUAUCUAAGCAACCCAAGAGGGGGGUGAAUUGGGUUUCUAAAAAUUAUGCAAUUCUUAAACAAAACUUAAUGCAAAUCUUAAACGAAUUUAAAGUAAUAAUAAAUAAAUCAACCAAAGUAUAAAAAGAUAAGGGAAGAUAGAUUAAAAAACAGAGAGUUUUACGUGGUUCGGCCAACCUUGCCUACAUCCACGCCCCCAAGCACACCGAGCUUGGGCAUUCCACUAGUCAAGCCUUCAAGGCUUCAAGAACACUUACAAUUGACUUCUUAGGUGUCAAUCAACCUUUACAUCUAGAGAUUAUCCUCAAUCUCUUAACCCAAGUGUAUCCCAACAUUUACAAUCACUCAAAAUAAAGAUUACAAAUUUAUUUUUCUCUCACACAAUUUUUUAAGAUUACAAAUCAACGCUUAAUGUGUGAAUAAAUGAACAAGAAUGAAUUUGAAGCUCAAUGAAUGUUGUAUUCUCGAUUAUAAGCUCAAUGAUAACGUUGUGAUAAGCUCUUGUUUGAAUUUGAUUGAGCUUAUUUAUAGUUAGAGUUGAAAAAUAGCCAUUGUUGACUUUUUCCCGAAAUUGGAUCGCCGUUAACCGUUAUCGGUUAACCGUUUUGACUGGUCCAAGUGACCGUUGAGCUGAAUUUCAAAUAAACGGUUGAUCUUUUGACACUAUCGGUUUGCUAUUAAUUUCCAUAAACCUGUAAAACAAAUUUAUGCUAUCCGUUCUUGCUAAACGGUUGAAGGUCAGCAUGGAAUAACAUUCUAGAAAUUAUUGGUUGGCCGUUUGAAGUUCACGGUUCACCGUUUACUUCUAGAAUCACAGUUUUAACCAAAUUUCGCAGGGAAUGCUUUUUCGGUUAAAGUUAACGAUUAUCCAUAUUUCAUGAACACAUUUAGAAAAAUCAUACGACUUUUGAGAAAUUGUUUAGUAAUGAAAACUCUAACAUUUUAAUCAAAUACAUUUAAAGUUUGUUAUCAUCAAAAUCAAUAUAAUGAACAUCUACAUGUUAACAGUUAGGCCUUGAUUAUUUUUUAAAUCUUAUAAGAUAUAUUGUGAUAAUAGUAACUCAAUUUUCAUAAAACGUGGAAAGAUCAGUCGCCAAAUUUAUAGAUGCCAUAGAAAAUCUAGAUUUUAGUAAGGAAUAUCAAGUUAUUUAUACAAUGAAAAUUGUUAAAACUCGAUUAAUUGCAAGGAAACACUUUUAGAGAGAUAUGGAGAGAAUAAACUUUGAAGAUAACAAUGAAAUACAUGACACAUUUAAGGAAGAAAAUAUAAUAGUAUUAAUAGAAUCUAUUUUAACCGGUCUUAAGAUCAUUCAAGAUUGAUGCAAAAUAAAUAACAGGACUCUAAACCGUCCAUAAUAAGUCUAUUGAUUAAUAAUAACAAUAAUAGUGAUGUGAAAUUUUUUAUUCAGAAUGCUCAAUUUAGAUUAUAAUAUCUAUGUGAAAGCAUUGAUGGCAUGUACCUUGGUUAGGAAAAUAGAUUGGACACAUGGAUAUAUAUGUUGGAAGAACAAAUCUAGUUUAUAUCUCAAGAGAGAUAAUAAAUUAUAAAUGACGGUGCUAUAGUAUAUUCAGAUUUUAUAAAUCUUUAUAAAUUUAAUAAUCAUUUAGAUCUUCAUAAUAUUAUAAUAAAACUUUAAAAAUAUAUGUAGAAGAGAUGGAAGAAGAAAUCAUCCAGUUAUUCAAAAUCAAUUAAACAAAAAUAGAAGGUAAAAUCCUUGAAUUAUAUAAAUUAUACAAUUUCACAGAAAUUUUGCAUAUAUUGUGAAACGGUCCUUGUGGCACUAAUUAUGGGACUAGUGUAGCAUAAAUACUAAUAUUGCUUUUUAUUUUGUAAAUUAAUUGUUGCGUCAUAAUGUUUUUACAUGCACAUUUUUUGUUUUAAAAUAUGAAUUUUUUUUUUUGUAUUUAGGGUUAAUUUUACAAUUUCAUACUUUGUUCAAUUAUAUGUACAGGUCCUUAACGUGUUGGUUGAUGUUGAAUAUUCAAAGAUCCACAAGCUAUCAACGACAACGAAUCAAAUUAAACUAAUUAGUUAAUACAUAAUGACUGGGUUGUUUCCUAUGUUGUUAAUGAUGUAGGACGUUAUUUUAGGAUUUUAGAAUUUUAAUUUUUAGGUCUUCUGAUAUUUUCUUUUUUAAUUAAAGUCAGUGUCUUAGUUUUUUAUUUAUUUAUGUUAUAAUUAUAAUUUACUUUCUCUUUUUAAGUUAACUUAGGAAAAUAUAUUUACUGUAUUAUAAAUAAAGAGACCUUGUUAUUACUUUAUAACUUCAACUUCAGUUAUUCAAUUAAAAACCCCUCUUUUAUAAUUUCCUUUUGUAUUAUCUAUUAAAAACCCCUCUUUUAAAGUUGUUUGAUUAGAGCAUCAUCUAGCCUUGCUUAACGCAGUAUUAAAAAUCCCUUUGAGUUUAAUCACACUUCGAUUAGAGCGUAACUUAAUCGCAUUGACUUGGUCCAGUACUUGAACGAUAUCUAGUGUUUUGCUUCCGCUAUGCCCAAGGAGAAAAUUAAUUUCACCGUGAGAUAAGAGCAUUAAAAGGAAUUCAUAAGAAAUUGGGAAAAUAUCCACCGUCCACCUGAUUUUGUCCACUUUUUUAAAAAUACACAAAUCUUAAUUUUUUUUGCUGCGCUACACCUAAACUUAUUUUUUUUUUCACAUUUCCACCUCCGUUUGCAAACCGUCAAAACGUUGCUGACGUCAUAAGGAUAAAAUAAUAAUUUCACUUGGGCUUCAAAAACAACUUCGUUUAAGAUCUGUAAUUUAACCUUUUCGUUUGAUUCUGGAGUAAGGUUGGCCCUACAAACCGGGCAUGUCACGUGAGAGGCUAAGUAGAGUGGGCUCUGACCGAAAAACUAAAUUUUUAUCUAUUUUGUGUAAAUUUACUGAUUAACCACCUCGAAUUCAAUAAUAUUUGUUUCAACCCAAUUAAAUAAUAUUAUAACCCCUGCCGACCCAUAAAAUCAUGGUUCCACGCACUAUAACCAUAUAAAAGGGCUUUAUUAAAACAAAACUGCAAUUAAGAUCAUUUAUCAAUUAAAUUAAGUAGUAAUUAAGACUUUGAUGGUGGAUUCUAUUAAUUGUUUCAAAGGAGUGUCGGAUUUGUCUUCUUUCUAUUGUUUUUUCAACUUUCAGAUAACAAAUUAACAUUAACACAUACCUAGCUAAAAAAGGAAACAAGUGAAGUAAUAUAAUGUCAACUAGGAAUAGGUCUAGUGCUUUAACCAACACCUUCAGAUACCUUAAUUUGAUUUUUUAAAAAUCAAAACAAAUUAAUGAAUUAAAACAUUAUAAUACUCCAAAUGUACUUAUGAAGUAACUUAAUUUAUUAUCGAUAAAAAAAAAAUUUAAUAACAUAUUAAUAUUAUUUAGUUCUUCAUGGUCAGUCUUUUUCUAAUGUGAAAUUUUGACAUUCACAAGAAAUUAUAGAAUACAUCAGAGAUAUCGUGUCAAUCAUACAACAAAUAAUUGAUGUUAUAAUAUAUGUGCAUUUAUUUUAACAAAUUACCAUGCAAGUAAUUGUUAUAUUAAAUUCAAUUAUUCAUAUUAUACAUACAUUAGUUAGUUGUAUUACCUUUAAUGAAUAAAGUUUUGAGAAGUGUGCUCAAAUCUUUUCGACCAUGAGGUCAUUACCAUUAGAGGUAUGUCUUGUUACAUCAAUAAAAGUCAUCACUUUCCUUUUGGUAAAUCAUCCAUUAAGAGUUCCAGACCAUUAGAGAUUAUAUAUUCUAAUGUAUGGGGUCCUGCUCUUAUUACUUCCAUUGAUGGUUUUAGAUAAUACAUUAUUUUUAUUAACCAUAUUACUAAAUAUGUCUGGCUCUAUCCUUUACGUAUUAAAUCAUAUGUUUUCUCAACAUUUAAUUCAAUAUAAAAAUGUAGUUGAAAAAUUUUUUCACACUAAGAUUGCUUCAGUAUAUACUGAUGGUGGUGGUGAAUUUAUUAAAUUAAAACAAUUUUUCAAUCAAACAGGAAUCUCUCAGUUACUCACACCACCAUAUACAUCUCGACUAAUCAUGAUCUUUCCGUUGUUUGGAUUGUAAAGCUUGUAUCCUUUGGAGUUGUUGUCAUAGCCGAUUCAGAUGAACUUCUCACUUUUGUCAUCCAGCUUAGCUCUUCUUUCGUCUGGUAUAUGUACAUGGGCAAUGCUUCCAAAACUCUUAGAUGGGUGAUGCCGGGCUUUCUUUCACUCUAAGCUUCUUGUGGCGUCUUGCCCCACACACUUCUUGUUGGAGAUUGAUUGGAUAAGUAGACUGCACAUGCAACAACUUCAGCCCAAAAUUCUUUAGGUAGCCUCUUACUCUUGAGCAUGCUUCUUGCAAUGUCGAGGAUGGUUCUGUUAUUCCUUUCCUCAACACCAUUUUGUUAGGGGGAUCUUGGAACUGUCCAAGGGCGUCAAAUUCCAUUUAUUUUAAAAAACUCUACAAAUUCUUUGGAAGUGAACUCUCCACCUCAAUUAUAUCUCAUGGCUUUAAUCUGGUAUCCACUUUCUUUUUCAACUACUGCUUUAAAAUUUUUGAAAGCUUUAAAAACUUUUGAUUUAAAAAAAAAAACACCUAAGUUUUCCUGAAAAAUCAUCUAUGAAGAGAAGGAAGUAGUUACUUUUACCAAGGGAGCUUGGCUUGAAUGGACCGCACACAUCAGUAUAAAUGAGCUCAAGUGGCUUCUGAGCUCUUGAGUUUGACUCCUUUGGAAAGCUCUUUCUGAACUGCUUGCUAAGUAAACAUCCUUCACAAAGUUAUUUGGUGGCUACCAUCUUUUGCACAAAAAAGAAUGUUACCUCUACCCUUUACUGGUACUUUUGAAUCAUCUCCAAAAGAGACACUGCCAUUUACAGAUUCAUUUAGUUCCACGAACAUGCUUCUGUUUCCGCUCAUAUGAUUGCUAGCACCUGUGUCAAGAUACCAUGUAUUUUCUUGACCUCCACUUGUGUCAUUGCGUGCUAGUAAAAGGGUUUCAUCUUCACCAUUUUUCUCUUCAACACAAUUCACUCUCUCAUCAAUUCUGGUAGUUGCAGCUCUACAUUCUGAAGCAUAAUGCCCAAACUUUUGACAAUUAUAGAAUUAUACUUGAGAUUUGUCAUACCUCGAUCUUGGAUUGCCUUUUCAUCGUCCUCUGGUUGAGCUUUCUCCUUCGGCAUAAUUGGAGUUGUUGUUCUUGAAAUUCCAACCUCAUCCAUGACCACGACCUCUACCUCGUCCUCGACCUCUACCUCGGACAUAAUGCCUUCUCUCAUUGUCGGAGCUUUCUUCUAUUUUCUUUGGAUUGACUUCUAUAUUGAGAAGUUGUUCUUUGAUUCCUUACUUCUUUUCCAGUUUUUCUUCAUAAGCUUGCAACCUUCCUUAAAAUUGCUUGAUCGUCAUAUCUUACAGAUUUUUUGUUUCCUCAAUUGUCACAAUAAUAUGGUCAAACUUCGAGUUUACUGAUCGAAGUAUCUUUUCAAUGAUCCUUACCUCUUUUAACUCCUCGCCAUUUCUUUUUAAUUUAGAGGAAACGGUCAUAACCUGAGUAAAGUAGUAAAAAAUUGACUAUAAUGCCUUCAUGUGUAAAGACUCAAAUUUUCCUCGUAAUGUUUAGAGAUGAACCUUCUUAACUUGGUCCACUUCUUUAUAAGAGAUCUCUAACUUCUCUUAUGCUUCUUUUUAAGAGAUUGCACUUGCAAUCUAUCUUCAUCUAAUGAUUGAAAGAUGAGAUACUUUGUUUUAUUCUCUUUCUUCUUCAAGUUUUUUAAAUUCUCCUUCUGUGCUGCAGUUAAAGUGGCUUCAUUUUCUGGCAGAAUAAAGUCUUUUUUCAUGACAUCUCAUACAUCAUGUGCACCCAAUAGAGCCUUCAUUUUAAUACUCCAGUUGUCAAACUUACUCCCCUUUAAUUGUGGAACUUAAAAUGACAUCAUACCACUAUUUGCCAUAACUCACAAAUUGACUGAGAAUUUGGAGAUUCUGAGUGGAUGGAUGGAACCGGCACGUCGAAAAACCUUGGAAGGGACUCAAGUCAACUUUCAGUCAAUGGUCAACACCGAUCAACGAUCUACGUCAGUCAACGGUCAACGUCGGCUUAGUUGACUUGGUUCGGUCCGGCUUGGUUCGGUUCGAGUUGGCUUGGUUUGACUUGAUUCGGUUCGGCUCAGCUCGACUUGGUUCGGUUUGGUUUAGCUUAGUUCAACUCGUUGAGUCGACUCAGCUUCAGAACAGAAAACUUCCGGUGGCUAGUACAGGUGCAUCUGAUCUCUUAUCGGGCUGAGUUUUAUGGCGUCGCGUUCCUCUUGUCGAGAUAUUCGAUUUGAUAUGUUAUAUGACUAUAUAUAACAUUGAUCACUAGCUCUGAUACUACUUUGUUGGAGAAUCAACAAAUUAAACACUAAAAAAACACUCUAUUUUAUUUCUUCAACAACACUCCUCAACUACAACUCUUAUUUUUCACUCUCUACAACUUAGAGAUUUUGUUACUUCACUUGAUGCAUAACCAAAUGACACAAGGGGGUAUUUAUAGUAUAUGAGAAGAAAUCUAAACUAUUCAAAUAAGAAAUUACAAAAAAUUAAUAACCAUUCAUCUUCACCUACUAAACCUACCACACCUAAAAUAAAUAAUUCAAACCUCACCAACCAUACCUACUCAUGGAACCUUCCAUGGGUUGGGCUUAUUAAUUUGUUUUUGAAUUUUUUUUUUAUCUUGGAUCAAGUCUAUGAUCCAACAAAAUUAACCACAAUAGUUUAUGGAAAACAAAUAAAUAAAAUUACACUAUCACAAAAUUUAGGUUGCAUGUGUAGUGCUAUAAAUGCACACCUGUUAGAGUAUUAUAAAAAAAUAAAGCAUCGCUUAGUUUGGCAUUAGAUUCAAAUACAUGUGCAUAAAUCUUUGUGUUUUUAUACAAAUUAAUAAAAGCACUCUGGUUGAAGUUGAAAGAAAUUUAGAUUUAUUGCAAAUAGAUGUAGGCAAUCAAAAAAACUAGAAUUAACAACUUAAUUAAUUUUCGUAAAUAUUGGUCAUCGUUACUGUUUACCGUUACUGUUCUUUGGCAUUGUUCAUGGUUACUGUUCAUCCGCAUCACGAAUAUAAGUUUCCAAAAACACAAUAAAUUGCAGAAAUUAAAUGACGCGGAGAUUUUUACGUGGUUCAGAUUAAUCAAUCCUACAUCCAUGGGGUUACGCCCAAGUGAAAAGUAAUUCAUUAAGUUGAGAUGUUAUAACCUAUGGAUUUAUCAAACUUAAAACUCUCAUUUACAGUUUAUCACCAUACAAUUUACUCAACCUUAGAGUGAAUAUGCUUCUCUUGAAUAAUUACUACCCCUCUUGAUCCACGAUCCUUAAGACACUUUGUAAAGUGAUCAAUAGGAAUUUUUUAAUAUCCAGUGAUCCAAGAUCCACAUAGACUCUUCAUAAAGAUGAAAAGAAGAUAAGAAAAUAAAUCAACACAACAUUAUGCACAAAAUUUGAAUUCUCUAGGGAGGAGACCGAAUUUUGCUUCUUUGUUUUAUGUCAAAUUCCUCACUGCUUGUCCUAAGGACUGUAAUAAUAAAUGGUACUCAGCAUAACAUAUGAUACAAGUUAGAAUCAACAGUAAAAGGGUUAAUCAAACCAUUGACUUAAAUCGAGUCUAUAAUGACUGUAAUCCUGAAUUAUUUGAGCCUAAAGCUCUUACCAGCAAAUGGGUAGUUGAGAUGAAAGUCCUCUAUAAACAACUUGAACGAAUAAGUAAAGAAUAAAAUAUGGCUUCACCAAGUCAUGACAGAAAAUAUAAGCAAAAAAGAAAACAUUUUAGCCAAACAAGCCAUCUUGAAAAAGAAGAAGGCAAUAUAUGAGAAUCUUGUGGAAUCUAGCUUACUAACACACCAUAGGAUAUGCAAGGUGCUUAAGCAUUGUGGCUUUUGCUAUAAAAAAUCAAAAGAAGAAUUUAGCGAGAAAAGACAUGUCACUAGAUGAAGAGCUUGUACUUAGUAUGUGAUAGGAGACCACUAAAAAGAUAAAAGAUGCUAGCUAAAAGCAUCAAUAAUUCAUAGAGAAUCCAAGGGAAAAGAUAAGGCUUAUCAGAAUCCUUACCUCAACCAUAUGAAGACUGUUAACCAUAAAAAAAAGAAGACAAUAGUUGUCUUCAAUAAUGCAAGGGGAAGGGUUAGCUUGUUUCUAGGAAGUCUACCAUGUAACAAGUGCUAUGUAAAAAAAGAUAAUCUCAUCUCUAAAAUCCAUAUGUGUCCUAUAAGAAGGGAUUAUGUUAUCUGUUCAAGUCUAUAAAUAGGGUCAUGUUAGAUAGGAGAUGUAUAACUCACGAAUAUACUCUUAUUCCCAUCUUUAUUCUCUCUUUAAAUUCAUAAAUAAAUUGAAAAAAAAAAACUCUUUUUGAGUGAAAUUAUCAUCUUUAUAUCUAUCUUAUUUAGACUUGAGAAAAAAAAUCAAGAAUCUUACAUGCCAACACUUGUGUUAAAUGAAAAAGAUUUCAUUUUAUUAAGCACUCUUCUAAAGGCAAUUGCAAGGGAUUCACAUAGAUAGAUCUUAUUAGGCAAGUCUGUAGUGUGUUGCAUUAGGCCGUGUAGAACAGUUACAGAAGUGAUCUUGCAUGAUGCGUGCAGCUAGAGCGAUGUUGACCAUGGGCCAAUCUAUGGUCUCGAGUUAUUAGCGAAUUUAUUCCCGAAUUUUGAGGAAUAGUACAUUGGCUAGUACAUGGAAUUAUCUUAUUAUAUUUUGGACAAACAGAAGCAUGUUAGACCUAGAUUAUCUUUUAGAUCUUACAAGAUAUAAAGUGAUAAGUGUAACUUAAUUUUCAUAAAACGUUGAAUGAUAAGUCAAGAAACUUCUAGAUGCCACAGAUAAUCUAGACUUUAGUUAGGAAUUUAAGUUAUUUAUGCAAUGGAAAUUGUUAAAACUCGAUUAAUUGCAAGCAAACGCUUGUAUAAAGACAUAAAGAAAAUAAACUUUGAAGAUAACAAUGAAAUAUAUGAGACCUUUUAGGAAGAAAAUAGAAUAACAUUAAUAGAAUCUAUCUAACCAAUCUUGAAAAAAUUUAAAACAGAUGUAAAACAAAUAACAGGACUCUAAACCAUCCAUAAUAAGUCUAUUGAUGGAUAAUAACAAUAAUAAUGAUGUGAACUUUUUGAUUGGGAAUGCUGAAUUUAGAUUACAAUACCAAUGUGAAAGGAUUGAUGGCAUGUACCUUGGUUGGGAAAAUAGAUUGGACAUCUCUAUAGAUUUGUUGGAAGAAAAAAUCUAGUUUAUGUCUCAAGAGAGACAAGAAAUGAUGAAUGCCGGUGCUAUAAUAUAUGAUGAUUUUUAUGAAUUUGAUAAUCAUUUAGAUCUUUAUAACAAUAUAAUUAAAACUUCAAAAAGCUUUAAAAAUAGAUGCAGAAGAGAUUGGAAAAAAAAAAUCGUCUAGUUGUUCAAAACCAAUUAAACAAAAAUAAAAUGUGAAAUCCUUGAAUUAUAUAAAUUAUAUAAUUUCACAAAAAAUUGUGCUUUGGUGCUUAGUAUGGGUAAUUAGUGCGGUAUAAAUGCUCAUUUUUCUUUUUCUUUUGUAAAUAAAUUAUUGCAUCUUAAUUUUGUUACAUGUUACGAAUUUUGUGUUUUAAAAUACGCAAUUUUGUUUUCGUAUUUUGGGUUAAUUUUAUAAUUUCGUACUUUGUUCGACUAUAUGCACAGGUCCUUAACAUGUUGAUUGAUGUUGAAUAUAUAUUCAAAGAUCCACAAACUACCAAUGACAACAAAAGAAAUUAAACUAAAUAGUUAAUACAUAAUGAUUGGGUUGUUUUUACUACUUGUUAAUGAUGUAGGACGUUAUUUUAAGAUUUUAAGAUUUUAUUACUUUAGCCAUUUGAUAUUUCUUUUUUUAAUUAAGGUGUGUGUCUUAAUUUUUUUAUUUCUAUUAUAAUUAUGAUGUAGUUUCCAUUUUUAAGUUAACUUAGGUUAGUAGAUUUACUCUAUUAUAAAUACAGAGGUCUUGUAAUUAUUUUUGUAACUUCAACUUCAAUUAUUCAAUUAAAAACUCCUAUUUCAUAAUUUCCUUUGCUAUUAUAUAUUAAAAAUCUCUCUUGUAGAGUUGUUUAGAUUAUAGCAUCAUCUAACUUUGCGUAAUGCAAUAUUAAAAAUCCCAUUUAGUUAUUUGAAUUAGAACGAGAUCUAAUAACACUUCGAUUAGAAUGUAACUUAAUUGUGUUGUCUUGAUUCAGUACUUAAACGAUGUGUAGUGUUUCUCUUCCGCUACGUUGCUCCGUCGAUUAACAUUUCUAGGGGAAAAUUAAUUUCACCGUGAGAUAAGAGCAUUAAAAGGAGUUCAUAAGAAAGUAAAAUUAAUGCUAUGUUAAAUGUAUCGCAAGCUACUUAUUUUUCUGGAAAUUGAAACGAUUAAUUAACUACGAGGUGAAAAUAAAUAAAUAAAUGAAUAUGAAGUUGAAAAUAAGUCUCGCCGCCUGGACCCAAGGCCAAAACAUUCAUGAUAAGUUAGGUAAUUAAAUACAUGUUUCAAGCUACAUGUUUUCAAUCUCUUCAUGAAGAAUGAUGAUAUUGAAGUAAAUCACAGAGACUUGCUGUUCAAAUCAUUACUUUGAUACAAAAAAUGCCAUAUCAUUAAAAGGAUCGUGACUUUUAAUUACUUUAUUCCCUGUUUGGGCAACAGCUAGCCACUAAAGAAAAUCAUAAAAUUUUAUGUUUAGUCAAAUUUGUGCCAACCUGAUGACACCGUUUUCAUCAUUUGGUUACUAAUGUUUAACAUCAAGGUUAUAUAUGACAAGUUUGGUAGAGCAGGUGAAAAGCCUAAGUCUAUAUAAGGAGGGGAAGGAGCUUGGUUUAUAGCACAACCGAAACUCCACUUUGCAUUGAACGAUGGGGUCUCAAACGGGCUAUCUCUUUGCCACUCUUUUGGUAAUAUCAGUCUCUCUUAGCCACUUGCCAUUAGAAGCCUCCGCAAACAAUUACUACUACACAUCUCCUCCCCCACCAAAGAAAUAUCCACCACCACCACCUCCCCCUCCCCAGUACAAAUCUCCACCACCCCCGCCACCGGUUCACAAGUCUCCACCACCACCCCCGGAUUACAAGUCCCCGCCACCUCCUCCACCAGCCUGCGAGCCUGCUCCGCCACCAACUCCAAUUUUCCCUUCUCCGCCACCUCCUGUCCCCAAGUUCUCGCCACCACCGCCUCACCCUUACGUCUAUGCAUCUCCCCCUCCUCCUUACUACUACUAGAAAGCGGCCAUGAAUAGCUCAUGCUUUUAUGGUAAUCUCAUUUAUUUUUAAAACUGUACAUGUAAAGACUAGUAGUUCAAAAUUACAUUAAGCAUUUCAAUUUUAAGCACCGUGUUCUGUUUAAUUGUGUUCCUAGUGAUUAAGUGACAAAUAAAAGAGACUGAUGAAUUUGUUCUUGUAGGAGAGGCGAAUGGUAUCCGAAUAAAGAAAGGGUUUGAUGAAAAGCUUACUGAGAGCAAGAUAGCGGUCGACCGAGUUGCCGCGUUUGAUUCUUUUUUGUCUUUUAUUUUUAAUGAAGAAUAAACAGCCACAUGUAGAAACAGAAAAGUUCUUGUCAUUUUCAUGCUUGUGGAUUGUUGCUGUGCGUGUCAAUCGAAUCUCUGGUGCGUCUUUUGUAAUUUUCAACUUUUAUACUUGCAAAUGCGAGACCUUUUUCGUAUAAUAAAAUUAAUAUACUUCGCAAGAUGGUCUUAUCAUGCGUUAAACUUUAUGUUCCUUUGGUGAUGAUUGUGACGUUUAAAAUUGAUGACUAUUGUUUUUGUAAACUCUGCAUGGAUUUUUCGUGCAACUAUAGAGCGCAUUGACGAGAGUCUUAUCCAUGAGGGUCCAUGUAGAUCAGUGUCUAUUAACCAAUAAUUAAUAUAACUUAAAAAAUAUAGUUAAUCAGUCAUGCUCGAGUGCAAAUGUUGGUACAAAAUUUCGUGCCAAUGUGUACUUGAGUAUGAUUAUAAGUUUUAAUCAUUAUUAAUAAUUCAACCAACAAGUGCAUAGAUCAACUGGCGUGGGGUUGUUCUAACUUAACCAAGGUUCUCGGUUCGAAACUUGGGAAUGCAGCUGCGUUAAAUACUUGUUGGGAGAGCUUUGCCGCCCUAGUGGUCCUACCCGACUCGAAUCUGAAUUAGUUCAGGCCCAAUGUGGUCUUCAGAUACCAGAUGGUUUAAUACACCGAAAAAAAUAAUUCACUUGAUAAUAUUAAACAAAAUUUCACAUCAAUUAAGUUAUAAUAUUGAUUACCUUAUAUAUUUAGUGAUUUUGUAUUUAAAUUGAAUAAUGAUAAUUUUGGUUUCAUAGGGAAAAUGACUAACGCACACCAAAUGUUUAAGGAAAGGGACAUGAAAGUCCCUAACAUUUUAGAAAAGACACUUAAACCCCAAAUUGUUAAUAAAUUCUGUUAAUUUUAACAGAUUUUUUUUUUUCAACUUAUAAUUACUAUUAUCUCCCUAAAACAUACAAGUCAAUAUAUUAACUUGUCAUUUUGCCCAUUAAUUAUUAAUAAAAUUAUGAAUAUACCCUAAUUUAUAAGGUUGAAAUGCAUGUAACAUAUCCAAAGUCCCUACAAAUUAGAAUAGGAGUUAAACACCGCACACAGAUACUAAUGACAUUUUAAAAUGGAAUGGAGUUAUUACCUUAACUAAUCCUUGUGUAACGGAUUCCAAAAGCCUUUUAUUGCUACCAAUACCAAAUUAGUCCAAAUCUCCCUUUGUCUGGAGACCAAAUAAUACAGUAAGGCAAGCUUGAGGUUCAUCACGCAGCACAUCUCCAAUCAGCAUCGGAGCUCCAUUUCUCUGUCUCCUAAACAGCACUUCACAAGUUAUUCCUGUUCACUCUUUCAGGACUAUCAGUAGGGCAGUAAUCUCCAUGUCUACGAUGGGAAGAUUGCCCUGGAGUUGGGAUGUUUUCAGGAAAUACAAACCCUAAAGAAGUGACCGGCCUUAAUCAAUUGUUGGUUCCAGGGAUAAUUAGGGUACAAAUGGCACGGCUUCAGGAGCGAUAGAUGGAUUAUAAAUGCAUUGGACCUCAUAAGGGCGAUCUUAAGCAGUCUUGGGAGUGGGACUAGAACUACGAUAGUGUUAGGCUUCAGAUGGUUGCUCUUGGCGAAGAUUAGCCGGAGCAACAAAGGCAGGAUUGUCGGCAGGAUUGUCAAGUGCAACAUUCUUAGCUUGUCUUUGAUUGAGUCACUAACCGAAACCAUCUGAGUGUCAUUUUUAUCAGCAGGACCAGUCAGAAAUUCAUCCUCAAAUGUUUUCUUGAUUGAAAAGUAGCUUUGUCAAUGACUCAAUCAGCAGUGUCAAAAUCAAAGAAAUCACUUUCCCUUAUCUUAAAUUUUCUCCACGAAGAAAGAUGAUCCAAAGGAGAAAUCUUCAUGCAUUUUUCAGGAAAAAGUGUAUCAUCCGAGUAACCCCAGAGAAAGAAGAACUCAUCAUGGUUAGUUAAUGUUGUUGAUAAUUUCAUGUACUAGCAUAGACCAGAAAGCACUUAAUUCAUGACGAACCUAGAAGAAAGGUUAAAAAACAAUAUAACACACCACUUAUAAAGAAGAGAGGUGGCAGGGAGAGGAAAUAACUAAUUCAGCAAGCGCAUAAGACAUAGAAGAUAAUAAUGUUACCUUUUGUAGGAUAACUAACUCAAAAGGAUAGGCCUUUGAAGAUCUAGUGACCUGCUUGCUUUCCAGCAAAACUUCCAUGCAUUCAAGCACUGAAUUUGACGUAAAGCCAAGAUUGUAGCCUCCUUCCAAUGCCAAAACAAUCUUGCCUUUUGCAAAAUCCAUCAACUGGAGAAAGAAAAUUACAGAUGUGGAAUGCGCCAAAGACUCGAAAGUCAACCCAAAAUCAGUAGCUUGCAAGAAAAGCCACAAGAUAAAUACAACAAAAUGAAAAUAUUAAACCAUAUCAUCUUGUUGUCAGCCUUAGAAAUUUAGCAUUCCCUCCAUUCUGUGUUCUACAAUUUGAAACAUCAAUAUAAAAAUGCUAAAAUAUUAGAGUAAAGAGAAGAUAAAAUUUGAAUGCUACUCUUUUUUAAUAUAAUUGAAUAUCCAUAUGGUGUGCCCCAACAGUCCCCUAAAGAAUCACCAGUGGCUGUUCUGUUCCAAGCAUUGUGUUAGAAAGAUUUAUCAGAAAAAAAGAUUAAAAAAUAACGAAAGUAGGCAUGUUGGAGUUAUGAAGCUCAAAUAUGAACUUAGGGAUAUGUAUGACACGUCGCUUGUUUGUCAGGAAGAAUAACGACAUGUUGAGCAUUGGAGUUCAGAGCAGCUGAAUGAUACAAACGUUAUGUCGGCUGGAUGUGUUAGUAAUGCACGUGAUGCGUCACAUGUUCCACUAAUUCAAACGGCAGCCACAUCUGCGUUUUAGUUAGCAGAUUGCGUGAACAAUUGACAAGUGUCCCAGAGCAAAUUCAAGAAGUGGUUUUUUCGGUUAGAUCAUGCGGGAGGCAGCUGGAGAUCUUCUUGGUUGGAAACCCAGGAGGUGAUCAGGUUGAUACUCAGCUUUCAACGCCUGUUACAAAACAGGAAGAACAGCAACAACCAGAUGAUCAACACAAGAAUAUCCCUGAACAACCAUCACUUUUAGAACCUCGUCGUAGUGGGAGGGUAACUAGGUUACCUGCGAGAUACAUACUUUUGGGAGAAACUUAUACAGCUAUCUCAGAUGAACAUGUACAAGAUCCCACUAGUUACAACAAAGCUCUAAUAGAUAGAGAUGUUGAAUUUUGGAAAAAGGCCAUGAAUCAAGAAAUGGAAUCUAUGUAUUCCAAUAAAGUCUGGGAACUUGUAGAGGCACCAAAUGGGGUAAAACCUAUAGGGUGCAAGUGGAUCUACAAGAGAAAAAGAGAAGUAAACGGAAGGGUGGAAACAUUUAAAGCAAUAUUAGUAACCAAAGGGUUGUAUUUAGAAAGAGAAAUUGAUUAUGAGGAAACCUUUUCCCCGGUUGCUAUGCUUAAAUCCAUUAGGAUUCUGCUCUCCAUUGCUGCAGUGCUAGAUUAUGAAAUUUGCCAAAUGGAUGUCAAGACUGCCUUUCUUAACGGGCAUCUUGAAGAAAAUAUCUGCAUGCAGCAACCAGAUGGAUUUAUACAAAAAAGGCCAAGAACACAUGGUUUGUAAGUUGCAGAGAUCUAUUUUUGGAUUGAAGCAAACAUCCCAGUCAUGGAACAUCAGAUUUGAUCAAGCGAUUAAAUCGUUUGGAUUCAUUCAGAACAUUGAUGAAUCAUGUGUGUACAAGAAAAUUCAAGAAAAAUUUGUAGCCUUCCUAAUUCUUUAUGUAGACGAUAUUCUCCUAAUUGGAAAUGAUAUAGGAGUAUUGACUACAAUAAAAAGUUGGUUAGCAAAACAAUCUGAUAUGAAAGACCUGGGAGAUGUAAGUUAUAUUCUUGGUAUCAAGUUACUACGAGACCGGAAGAAUAAAAUUUUACCUUGUCUCAAGCAGUCUAUAUCAAUAAGAUAUUGGCUAGAUUUAGCAUGGAAAAUUCCAAGACUGGUUUAUUACCAUUCAAACAUGGAAUUACAUUCUCUAAAGAUCAAUCUCCUAAAACAUCUGAAGAGAUAGAGAGAAUGAGACGAGUUCCCUAUGCAGAAGCUGUGGGAAGUCUCAUGUAUGUCAUGCUUUGCACUAGGCCCGACAUCUGUUUUGCGGUAGGGAUAGUUAAUAGAUAUGAAUCUAAUCCUGGACCUAAACACUGGACUGCGGUCAAGCAUAUAAUGAAGUAUCUGAAAAGAACUAAAAAUUAUAUGCUUGUGUAUUCUGGUGAUGAACUCAUUCCAGUGGGUUAUACUGAUUCUGACUUUAUGUUAGAUAAGGAUUCCAGAAAAUCAACUUGCGGCUAUGUGUUUACAUUAGGAAGUGGAGCUAUUAGUUGGAGGAGUGUGAAACAAUCUUGUAUCGCAGACUCCACAACUGAAGCUAAAUAUGUGGCUGCAUCCGAAGCUGCAAAAGAAGCUGUAUGGCUCUGCAAGUUCCUACAAGAUCUUGAGGUGGUACCUGCUGUAACUGCACCCCUUAAACUAUUUUACGAUAAUAGUGGUGCGGUAGCUCAAUCUAAGGAACCACAAGAAACAAAAACAUAUUGAGAGGAAGUAUCAUCUUAUAAGGAAAUAGUGUAGAAAUGUUAUAUGACAGUGCCCCAAAUGACAUUAGAUGCUAAAUGACAGAUCUUAUUACAAUAGCCAUUAGUGGAAAACCUUUAUAACCUGCACUUAGAGCCCUAGAGCAUGUGCAAUAUGCCAGAUAUGCUUUAAGAGCUAGUGGGAGAUUGUUGGAAAAAUAUGCUCUUUAAAAGCAUAUGUGUUUAUUUAAUUGUAAUAAACAAUUUUUCUGAUUAAUAAAAUAAAUGAGGUAUUUUAUUCAAAUAUCUUAAUUGCAUUAAUAUUUUUAUUAAAGUCCAUUUAAUCAUAUUAUAUGUAUUUAUGUGAUCACCAUGUGGAUUCACAGAAGACAUAAAUACAAGUUAUCUUAUGAUUAAAUAAAUUUAGUUCGCAGUUGAUAAAUAAAGUUGGGCACUUUAUUUAGGUAUAGACUGUAAUAAAUUUAUUGAAUGAUUUGUCUUAAUCAUGUAUGAAUUUAUUGAUGUAGUACGACUACAUUGAACAGGAUCACAUAUGAGAUUUAAUUAUAACUGUCAGACUUAUUAAAUCUCAUAGGCAUUGAUUUUACUGUAAUCUUAAUAUUGAGUUAAUUAUGAUUUCAUGAUUGUAAUUGUUAUUCCAUUUGAGUUACCAAUGGGCACGACAUAUACUUGUGGUCAAGAUUACCCAGUAUCUUGGUGGGAGCAAUUAUGAGUAUUGGAGUUAUGGAUUAACAAUAUAGAAUUUGUACAACACAUCUCUUGAUGGGUUUUCGGCACUUGAUCAUAUAAUUCUCUGGCCAGAGUGUGUCAACAUAUUUAGUAUGUUGAAAAUAAUCAUUAACGAAAACCAGUAAGUAUUAAAGAACAAGAUGUAAUUAAAUUGAUUGGAUAGUUGAGAUAUCGAUUUAAUUAAUGAUGUGGUACAAAGGAUUGUGCAGUAAAGAAAUCAAUGUGGCUUGAGACGAAUUAUUAUUCGAGCAUAUAAUUAUGGAAGUCAGUUCCAAUCUUUUAGUGGAGUAUUCCAAUCUUUUAGUGGAGUAGAUUUAGAAUUAAAUAAUUGAGCUAGUUUAAUUACAUGUCUAAUUAUUGUAGCCACUAUUGUAUGUUCCCAAAUGAUCCCCGGGUUAGCUCAUUUAAUUGACUGCACCACUAUUGGAUUAAUAAGCAAGAUAACUAGCUAAUUGGGUCAAAAGCCUAAAUAUAUCAUUUAGUGGGAGGCUCCAUUUAAUUAGUUUGUGUGUAAGGGGCCUUAUGUUAUUUUACAAGGUGGGUCCCUUAUAGAAAAAGCAAGUAAUGUGAGUUUGUUUUUGAUUAUUUGGAGCCUAGGGUUUUCACUAAAGGGAGAUAUAAAAGGCUUAUUUUCUCUAAAGAAAAGAGAUAGCAGCCACUUUAUAUAGAUCAGAGAAAAAGAUUUUUCUCUCUAUUGUUGAGAGAAAAAUUUUCUCGUGCUAGUUGAUUUGGUAGUGAUAAAGGUGCCCACACGUCAAGUGCAGAUCAAACCUGAGUCAUAAUCUGAAAGAUAAUUGGUGACAGUUCGUGAUCUAACAAGCGUGGUGGUGACGGAUCGUGAUCUAACAGACGUGGUGGUGACGGAUCGUGAUCUAGGAGCCUAAAUCACUUCAGCGGAAAAAUCUAAAUCGAAUUUUCAAGGUACGAUUUCUAGAUUACGUAUUCUUAUAUAUUAUAUGAGAGCGAUCUUAAAAAUGUUUUAUAAAAAAUUUAAAAAACUUAUCUUUCCCCAACAUAUGGAACCAUGCAAAAGGGCUUUAUUCAAACAAAGCCGCAUAGCCGUUGGCAAUCAAAAUACUUUAUCAAUUAAGUUAAGUAGUAAGAAUUGGAUUGUGGAUUCUAUUAAUUAUUUCAAGGAAAAUUUUAUAGAUAAUGGCGUAAUGAAAUUUACGGCAUCAAUACCAUGAUAAAUAUAAAUAUUGUAAAUUACAAAUAGAAUUAGUAAAUGUAAAGUAAAACCAGUAAAUUCAUAAAAGAUUAUUAAUUAUUUAAAAAAUUAACAUUGUUUCUACAUAAUUUUAGUGAAAAAUAUUUUAUUCAUUUACAAAAAAAAAAUUCUUUAAUUAAAAAAAAUCAUUAAUUAAAUAAAAAAUUAUACUGAAACAAAAGUGGAAUAAGUUUAAUUGAAUUGGUUACCAUAAAUUCUAUAUUUAGUCUAGAACAUUUGUAUACAUUUUUUUUCCCAUUUUCUAUAAUGAUAUCUAUUUAUUACACAUGUUAAUUAAGUGUAAUUAUUUAUCUUGAUGUGGAUCAAGUAAAAAAAAAAAAAGAGAUAUCAAUAAAAUUAGAUCUAAUUUUGAAUAUUAUGUAUACUUUAUGUAGUUUCAAACAUUUUACCUGUAUUUGGAGACCAUUUAAGGUUGUUGUUGAAGAAGUGUAGAAAGAUGUAAAAUAACGUCAUCUUACAACAAUUAUAAUGAUAUCUAUUUAUUACACAUGUUAAUUAAGCACAAUUAUUUAUCUUGAUGUGGAUCAAGUAAAAAUAAAAAAAAAGAUAUAUCAAUAAAAUUAGAUCUAAUUUUGAAUAUUAUGUAUACUUUAUGUAGUUUCAAACUUUUUACUUGUAUUUGGAGACCAUUUAAGGUUGUUGUUGAAGAAGUGUAGAAAGAUGUAAAAUAACUUCAUCUUACAACAACUAUGAAAGAUAUUAAAAUAAUAUUUUUUUCAAAAUCCGAUUUUGAGCAAAAAUUUCAUCCUUAAUUAAACAUCACAUGUAUUAUGGAAAUGCAAAACUACCAUUGUUAUAUUUAAAUUAAAAAAUAAUAAAUAUAUAAGGUAAUAAACAUUAUAACGAGUUUUUAUUUUAAAAUUGUAAACUUUUGUUUCUAACAAUAACUCUUAUAUUAAUUAAUUUAUUUUUCCUUUUAUUCAUAAGUUUUAUGCUUAAUCUACAAACUUUAUGUUUUAUUUUGCAUUUAAUGUUGAUUUACUUUUUUUAUAUUAUACUUAUAAGUUUUCAUUUUAUUUACCAGUAAUACAUCAAUUUAUCAAUUUUGUAGUAAUUUACUUAUUUUACUUUCCUUUUACAAUUCUUAUGUUUAAUUUCCAAAGUUUAUGUUUUAUUUUACAGUUGUUGAUGAUUUACUAGUUUUAUGUUAUGUUUGCAAGUUUUUGUUUUGUUUACUAGUAAUAGAUUAAUGGGUAAUUUUUAAUUGAGUCCUCAUUAGAUCUAGAAAAAUAAUUCAGUGACCAGAAGUUUACUAAAUGAAUCAAUUAAAUUCUUUCAAAUACAAACUAAUGUCAUUCAAGUCCUUAACUUAAUUGCUCAGUUAAAAAUACUAACAACGUUGAGGACAUUUUAGUAAAACAACAAUUGAGUCGUUUCUCAUUCUUUAUUUUUGACAGGUGGAAAUAGUUUAAAGUAAAAAAUAAUCAAGGCCUAACUGUUAACAUGUAGAUGUUCAUUAUAUUGAUUUUGAUGAUAACAAACUUUAAAUAUUUUUUAUUAAAAUGUUGGAGUUUUCAUUACUAAACAAUUUCUCAAAAGUCGUAUGAUCUUUCUAAAUGUGUUCAUGAAAUAUGGAGAAUCGUUAACUUUAACCGAAAAAUCAUUCCCUGCGAAAUUUGGUUAAAAUUGUGAUUCUGGAAGUAAAUGGUGAACCAUUAACUUCAAACGGCCAACCAAUAAUUUCCAGAAUGUCAUUCCAUGCUGACCUUCAAUCGUUUAGCAAGAACCGAUAGCAGAAAUUUGUUUUACAGGUUUAUGGAAAUUAACAGCAAACCGAUAGUGUCAAAAGAUCAACUGUUUAUUUGAAAUUUAUCGCAACGGUCACUUGAACCAGUCAAAACGGUUAACUGAUAACGGUUAACGGCGAUCCAAUUUCGGGAAAAAGUCAACAAUGGCUAUUUUUCAACUCCAACAUUAAAUAAGCUCAAUCAAAUUCAAACUCAAACAAGAGCUGAUCACAACAUUAUCAUUGAGCUUAUAAUCGAGAAUACAACAUUCAUUGAGCUUCAAAUUAAUUCUUGUUCAUUUAUUCACACAUUAAGCGUUGAUUUGUAAUCUCAAAAAAUUGUGUGAGAGAAAAAUAAAUUUGUAAUCUUUAUUUUGAGUGAUUGUAAAUGUUGGGAUACACUUGGGUUAAGAGAUUGGGGAUAAUCUCUUGAUGUAAAGGUUGAUUGACGCCUAAGAAGUUAGUUGUAAGUGUUCUUGAAGCCUUGAAGGCUUGACUAGUGGAAUGCCCAAGCUCCGUGUGCUUGGAGGCGUGGAUGUAGGCAAGGUUGGCCGAACCACGUAAAACUCUCUAUAUUUUAAUCUCUCUUCCCUUAUCUUUUUAUAUUUUGGUUGAUUUAUUUAUUAUUGCUUUAAAUUUGUUUAAGAUUUGCAUUAAGUUUUGUUUAAGAAUUGCAUAAUUUUUAGAAACCCAAUUCACCCCCCUCCUGGGUUGCUUAGAUAUUAUUUCACUAACAUGCCUCUGUUUGUGCAAAAUAUAAUAAGGUAAUUUAGAGUACUAACCAUAGUACUCUUCCUCGAAAUUCUAGAAUAGGUUCGCUAGUUCCAUGAGCCCAUAGAUUGGCCCAUGCUCAGCACUGUUAUAGCUCCACACAUUAUGCAAGAUUACUCCCGCAACUAUUCCACACGACCUAAAGCAACACAUUGCCGACUAGCCCAAUAAGAUCUGCCUUAGUUCAUUAGUUGAAUAAUUUAUUUUAAUUCUAAUUUAUAAUAAGAAUGGCACUGAUAAAAUUACUGUAGCAAUUCCUAUAAUAAUAAUCCUUGUGGAGACGAUCUUGAAUACUAAUCGUUAUAUUACUUGUUGUGUACAUUUUCACAUUGACACUAAUAGCAUUAGAAAAUCGACAACAAGUUUUUUGCGCCAUUACCGGGGAUUGGUGCUUAUUGUGUUUUGUGAAAUCAAUUUUAGUUGGUACAAUAGAGUUCUUUGCCACCAGACUCCAUCACCACAUGGAAUGAUUUGGCUGACAAUAUUUUGAUGAAAUAUUUCCCACCAACAAAGAAUACAAAGUUGAAGAAUGAGAUCACAUCUUUCCAUCAACUUGAAGAUGAAAGCUUGUAUGAUGCAUGAGAAAGAUUCAAGGAGUUACUCAGGAGAUGCCCUCAUCAUGGUAUUCCUUAUUGCAUACAAUUGGAAACUUUCUACAAUGGGUUGAACUCAAGCACUAAGGGCUUUAUUGUCUAACUCAUAUAAUGAGGCUUAUGAAAUUUUGGAAAGGAUAACUAUCAAUGGCCAUCAACUAGACAAGCCACAGUGAGAGGAGCAGCAGGAGUACACAAUGUGGAUGCACUGACAACAUUAUCAGCCCAAGUAACCUCAUUGACAAAUAUGGUAAAAGCAACGGCCACUGCUCCAACAACAGUUAACCAAGUUGCUGAAGUCUCUUGUGUUUAUUAGAGAGAGGGACAUCUAUAUGAUAAUUGUCCUAUGAAUUCAGCUUCAGUCAAUUAUGUGGGCAAUUUUAAUAAACAAAAUCAAAGCAAUCCAUUUUCAAACAGCUAUAACCUUGGAUGGAGACAUCACCGAAAUUUUUCAUGGAGCAAUCAGAAUCAGCAUGCUGCAGCAUCUAGUGGACAGAACAGACUUGCUCAACCACCUGGUUUUCACCAGCAAUUAUAAGGGUAAAGAAACACCAGUAAUGAUCAAUUUAGUUCCCUUGAAACUCUAAUUAAGGAGUAUAUUGUGAAGAUUGAAGUAGUGGUCUAAAGCCAAGUUGUAUUUUUAAGAAACUUGGAGAAUAAGAUUGGAUAGCUUGCUACAACAUUGAGCAACAUACCUCAGGACAGUUUACUAAACAAUACAGAGGAUCCAAAGAGAGAAGGAAAAGAGCAUUGUAAGGGGAUUAACUUAUGGUCUGGAAAGGAUGUUCAUAUUCUUGUUAAAGUACCAAAAAGAAAAGUGGAACCUAAUUCAACCCAAAGGGAAACUCAAAUUAAAGAAGAGACACAACAACCCAUUUUCCAGCACACUGGUGAGAGUUGCUAAGCUAUAACAACUGCAAAAAAACAUGAUUCAAUGCUUGUUGAGGAAGAAGCUGCAACACCAACAAUAACAGACCAUAAUAGAGCAAGAGAAAAGCAAUUUGUAUAGUCUGCUGCAGUACAACAAUUUACACAUCCACCAACAUUUCCACAAAGAUUUCAAAAGCGAAAGCAAGACAAGCAAUUCAAUAAAUUCUUGGAAGUAUUGAAACAACUGCAUAUCAACAUUCCUUUUGUGGAAGCAUUAGAACAAAUGCCAAAUUAUGUAAAGUUUUGGAAAUGUAUAUUGGCAAGGAAAAUGAGGCUUGGAGAAUUUGAAAUAGUUGGCCUAACACAAGAAUGCAGCCAUAUGCUUCAAAGUAAAAUGCCUCAAAAGAUGAAGGAUCUAGGAAGUUUCACAAUUCCUUGUUCCAUAGGAACUAAAUAUAGUGGCAAGACACUUGGGUAAUUUUUAGGGACCUCCCCUGAGGAUUGGUGUAUUAACACUUAGAUGGAAUGUAUUCGUGAAAUUACAAAUACCUCCCCUGCCGUUAGUAUAAAAAUACGUAUAACAUCAGUAUAGAAGGGUAAAUGUGUAAAAACAUAUUAAAAACUAAAAAUGUAUGCUUUUACUAGAUCAAUAAAAUUUUGACCACCACUUGCCACCUGUUGACCCACCCUUGAGCAGCUGAUCAUGGCUCCACCGGUGGCUAGUGGUGGUGCUUUACUAGUGUUGGAGUUCCCUCCUCACACCGGCGACCAACCCCAUUCACGGUCCUUGUGGCAAUAAUUAUGGGACUAGUGUAGCAUAAAUACUAAUAUUGCUUUUUAUUUUGUAAAUUAAUUGUUGCGUCAUAAUGUUUUUACAUACACAUUUUAUGUUUUAAAAUAUGAAUUUUUUUUUUGUAUUUAGGGUUAAUUUUACAAUUUCAUACUUUGUUCAAUUAUAUGUACAGGUCCUUAACGUGUUGGUUGAUGUUGAAUAUUCAAAGAUCCACAAGCUAUCAACAACAACGAAUCAAAUUAAACUAAUUAGUUAAUACAUAAUGACUGGGUUGUUUCCUAUGCUUGUUAAUGAUGUAGGACAUUAUUUUAGGAUUUUAGAAUUUUAAUUAUUAGGUCUUCUGAUAUUUUCUUUUUUAAUUAAAGUCAGUGUCUUAGUUUUUUAUUUAUUUAUGUUAUAAUUAUAAUUUACUUUCUCUUUUUAAGUUAACUUAGGAAAAUAUAUUUACUGUAUUAUAAAUAAAGAGAUCUUGUUAUUACUUUAUAACUUCAACUUCAGUUAUUCAAUUAAAAACCCCUCUUUUAAAGUUGUUUGAUUAGAGCAUCAUCUAGCCUUGCUUAACGCAUUAUUAAAAAUCCCUUUGAGUUUAAUCACACUUCUAUUAGAGCGUAACUUAAUCGCAUUAACUUGGUCCAGUACUUGAACGAUAUCAAGUGUUUUGCUUCCGCUAUGCCCAAGGAGAAAAUUAAUUUCACCGUGAGAUAAGAGCAUUAAAAGGAAUUCAUAAGAAAUUUAAAUUAAAGCUAAGUUAAAUAUAUCGCUAGCUACUUGUUUUCGGAGGAAUUAAAACAAUUAAUAAGCUGCGAAGUGAAAAUGAAUAAAUAAAUGAAAUGAGGUUGAAAAUAAGUCUCGCCGCCUGGAUCCAAGGCCAAAACAUUCAUGAUAAGUUAGGUAAUUAAGUACAUGUUUUCAAGCUCUUCAUGAAGAAUAACGUUAUUGAAAUAAAUCACAAAGACUCCCUGCGCAAAUUAUUACAUUGAUUAAAAAAAAAAAGCCAUAUCUUUAACAGGAUCGUGACUCUCGGACUGUUAAUUACUUUAUUCCCUGCUUGGCCAACAGCUGGCCACUAAACAAAAUCAUAAAAAAUUUAAAUUUAGUCAAAUUGGUCCCACUUGAUGACAUCCUUUUCAUACAUAAAAUUGUUUAACGUCAAGGUUAAAUAUGAGAAGUUUGGUAGAGAAGGUAAAAAGGACGUCUAUAUAAGGAGGGGAACGAGCUUUGUUUAUAGCACAAGUGAAACUCCACUUUAUUGAACGAUGGGGUCUCAAAUGGGCUGCCUCUUUGCCACUCUUUUGGUAGUAUCAGUCUCUCUUAGCUACUUGCCGAUAGAAGCCUCCGCAAACAAAUACUACUACACAUCUCCUCCCCCUCCCAAGUACAAGUCUCCACCACCACCCCCGCCACCGGUUCACAAUUCUCCACCACCACCCCCGGUUUACCUGCCCCCGCCACCUCCUCCACCAGUCUACGUGCCUGCUCCGGCACCAACUCCAAUUUUCCCUUCUCCGCCACCUCCUGUCCCCAAGUCCCCACCACCACCUCACCCUUACGUCUAUGCAUCUCCCCCUCCUCCUUACUACUACUAGAAAGCGGCCAUGAAUAGCUCAUGCUUUUAUGGUAAUCUCAUUUAUUUUUAAAACUGUACAUGUAAAGACUAGUAGUUCAGAAUUACAUUAAGCAUUUCAAUUUUAAGCACCGUGUUCUGUUUAAUUGCGUUCCUAUUGAUUAAGUGACAAAUAAAAGAGAUUGAUUAAUUUGUUCUUGUAGGAGAGGCGAAUGGUAUCCGAAUAAAGAAAGCAAGGGUUUGAUGGAAGGCUUACUUGGAGCAAGAUAGCGAUCAAUCGAGUUGCUGCGUUUUAUUCUCUUUUCUCUUUGUUUUUUAAGAAAAAUAAACUGCCACACGUAGAAACAGAAAAUUAAGUUCUUGUCAUUUUCAUGCAUGUGGAUUGUUGCUUUGUGUGUCAAUCAAAUCUCCGUUGUGUCAUUUGUAAUUUUCAACCUUUAUGCAUGCAAAUGCGAGACCUCUUACGUAUAAUAAAAUUAAUAUACUUCCCAAGAUGGUCUUAUCUUGCGUUGACUUUUUACGUUCCUUUGGUGAUGAUUUUAACGUUUGAAAUUGAUGAGUAUUGUUUUUGUAAACUCUGACAUGGAUUUUUCGUGCAACUAAAGAGCGCAUUAAUGAGAGACUUAUCCAUGAGGGUCCAUGCAUAUCAGUGUCUAAUUAACCAAUAAUUAAUAUAACUUAAAAAAUAUAGAGUUAACAAUUUUUAUGGGUCAGGCUCAAUUGCAGAUGUUCGUACAAAAUUUCUUGCUAAUGUAUACUUGAGUAUGAUAAUAAGUUUUAAUCAUUAUUAAUAAUUCACUUGACAAUAUUAAACAAAUUUUCAUAUCAAUUAAGUUACAAAAUUUCUGUGACAAAUUUCCACGUACUGGAACCAUGCAAAAGGACUUUAUUCAAACAAAGCUGCAUAGCCGUUGGCAAUUAAAAUUAUUUAUCAAUUAAGUUAAGUAGUAAGAAUUGGAUUGUGGAUUCCAUUAAUUAUUUCAAGGAAAAUUUUAUAGAUAAUGCCGUAAUGAAAUUUACGGCAUCAAUACCAUGAUAAAUAUAAAUAUUGUAAAUUACAAAGAGAAUUAGUAAAGGUAAAGUAAAACCAGUAAAUUCAUAAAAGAUUAUUAAUUAUUUAAAAAAUUAACAUUGUUUCUACAUAAUUUUAGUGAAAAAUAUUUUAUUCAUUUACAAAAACAUUUCUUUAAUUAAACAAAAAAAAUUCAUUAAUUAAGCAAAAAAAUUAUACUGAAAAAAAAAAGUGGAAUAAGUUUAAUUGAAUUGGUUAUCAUAAAUUCUAUAUUUAGUCUAGGACAUUUGUAUACAUUUUUUUUCCCAUUUUCGAUAAUGAUAUCUAUUUGUUACACAUGUUAAUUAAGUGCAAUUAUUUAUCUUGAUGUGGACCAAGUAAAAAAAAAAAAAAAAAAAGAGAUAUCAAUAAAAUUAGAUCUAGUUUUGAAUAUUAUGUAUACUUUAUGUAGUUUCAAACUUUUUACUUGUAUUUGGAGACCAUUUAAGGUUGUUGUUGAAGAAGUGUAGAAAGAUGUAAAAUAACUUCAUCUUACAACAACUAUGAAAGAUAUUAAAAUAAUAUUUUUUUCAAAAUCCGAUUUUGAGAAAAAAUUUCAUCCUUAAUUAAACAUCACAUGUAUUAUAGAAAUGAAAAACUACCAUUGUUAUAUUUAAAUUAAAAAAUAAUAAAUAUAUAAGGUAAUAAACAUUAUAACGAGUUUUUAUUUUAAAAUUGUAAACUUUUGUUUCUGACAAUAACUCUUAUAUUAAUUAAUUUAUUUUGCAUUUUAUUCAUAAGUUUUAUGCAUAAUCUACAAACUUUAUGUUUUAUUUUGCAUUUAAUGUUGAUUUGGUUUUUUUAUAUUAUACGUAUAAGUUUUCAUUUUAUUUACCAGUAAUACAUCAAUUUAUCAGUUUUAUUGUAAUUUACUUAUUUUACCUUCCUUUUACAAUUCUUAUGUUUCAUUUUCAAAAUUUAUGUUUUAUUUUACAGUUGUUGAUGAUUUACUAGUUUUAUGUUAUGUUUGCAAGUUUUUGUUUUGUUUACUAGUAAUAGAUUAAUGGGUAAUUUUUAAUUGAGUCCUCAUUAGUUCUAGAAAAAAAAUUCAGAGACCAGAAGUUUACUAAAUGAAUCAAUUAAAUUCUUUCAAGUACAAACUAAUGUCAUUCAAGUCCUUAACUUAAUUGCUCAGUUAAAAAUAUUAACAACAUUGAGGACAUUUUAGUAAAACCACAAUUGAGUCGUUUCUCAUUCUUUAUUUUUGACAGGUGGAAAUAGUUUAAAGUUAACUCAAUUAACCUGAUUAAGUUAAGGAUCAGUUCUUUCAAAAGAACAAAAAAAAGACCUACAGAAACUGCCAUAUUCUUCGUGUGAGAGGAGAGAUCGAGAGAACGUGGGAUGGUGCAAAAAAUGUUGUAUAAAUCUACUGUGAUUUUGACCAAAGCUUUGGUAGCAUUGAUUGAGUUCAAGUACUGGAGAGAACCUGAGUUUAAAGGUUAGUAACUCUAUUUUUUUAGUGAUUUCCGCAAGCAUUUUCUGAUAAAAAAAUUUUCCAUAUUGAGUGAUCGUUGUGAAAAAUUAAGUUUUUCAAGUCUAUUUUUGAAAAUGACAAACUAUGUUUAAUUAUUGGUGGAUUCUUUUUUUGUUCAAUAUUGUAUUUUGUUAAUUUGUUGUUUUUAAUUUGCUCUUUAUGUAAUUGUUAGACCAAAUACACCAUUAUUAUACUUGUAUUCAUUUCAACAAUUUGGUAUCAUUAUAUUAAUAAGAUUGAAUUCAUUGUAUUUGCUUCUUUGUUCAUGUAAAAUUGAAUUCUAUGUAUUCUUAUGAGUGAUAAUUUUUCUAUCUAUUAGACUAAAUUCACUAUAUUCACUACUUUCUUUCUUUUUGCUGGGCUAUUUUUUCUUUUUAGUUUAUAUUUUUUAUAUGUAUUAGAUUGAAUUUGCUUUUGUAUGUUUUUUUCGCCAAAUUGCAUGUAUAUUUCAUUUAGGUUGAGUUUUUUUUGUUGUUUGCUAAAUAAAAGUAUAUUGGUUUAUCCUUUUUUGAGGCAAUACUUUUGUUUAAAAUUAAUACAGGUAGCCAUGUUACCUUUUUUUCGGUUAAAAUUAAUGGGGUGAUGUAUGCGAUAGGAUAUAGGGAACCAGAGGAAUAUAAGAUUAUUAGGCUGUUUCUUGAAAUUCAAGAUGUCAUGGUUAAGCAUGGACACAUUGAAAUGGAUUUGAUUGAAAUUUUUGUUGUAUUGCCAUGGACUACAAGUAGGCAGAGGAAGCUAAUUUCAAACGAUAGUGAAUUGUAUUGGGUUUUCGAGGAGUUUUUUUUAUCAAUAGUUGUCCUGUCAUUGAGUUUGAGGUGCACACUGGGUCAGGUGGUCAGUCAUUUCAUGAAAGUGUUGUAAUAGGACCUGAAAAUCCUGUCAAUAUUAAAAAUUAGCGUUGUAAUAGUGAUAAGUUUGAAAAUCCUGUGGCUAAAAAGGGUUUGCCUAGAAUAAUUGGUUCUUCUUUAUUUGCCUCAAAGUCCAACACUAUGAAAUCCACUAGGAAAAAGAAUUUUAUCCACUUUAACCAGCACGUCUUCAAUCUUACCUUCAGGAUAAGCAUGAGAUCUAGCAGCACAUUGCAAUGUCACUGUGGCUGGUCUGACUUCUCCAACUCCCAAUUGCUUGAAUUCUAAUAAUGUCAUAAGAUUGAUGCUUGGUCCCAAAUAGGGAUGACAAUUGUACCCGCAAACCCCGCCAAACCCACCUGCCAAAACCCGCCCGUUGCGGGUAAUUUUACCCAUUGCGGGCGGGUUUUAGUAUUAUAAAUUAAACCCGCGCAUGGAUGUGGGGUGGGUUUUGGUAUUAACCUUAUAAUCCGGUGGAUACCCGCAUGGAUAUCCACCAAACCCGCAAUAUUUUUUUUCAAAUAUUUUUAAUUUAAUUUAAAUAUAAAAAUGUAUAAAGAAAAUAAUGUCAUUAAUCAAAUUACCAAAUAGACAAAGGCUCAAAGUUGUGUAUGUGUGUAUGUGGCCCAUCUCUUAUUCUAAAGUCAUAACCUAAAGAAAACUAAAGGCAUUUCCCUUCGAAUUAGUAUUUGAAAAAUAUUAAUCUUAAUUAUUAUUAUAGGCAUUGUGUUGGAUGGGUGCUUAUGGUGGUGAAAUGAAAUGAAUAUCUUCUCUUGGAUCUUGUUUUAAAAUGAUAAUAUGAAAUGUAAUUAUUAUUUUUAGAUACUAGUUUGUGUUUUUAAAAUGGAUUUGUGUAAUUUAUACUUAAAUUUGAGAAUUUGUAUUGAAUUGAUGUGGAAAUUUUAAUUUUUCAUUGACAUUGUUUAAAUAUAAAAUUGAGUAUGCUAUUUGGAAUUUGAGGUUAUUAUUAUAAAUUUAUAUAUUAAAUAUUUGUGAUUUUAAAUACGAAAACCCGCAAAAAUCUGCCGGAUACUAUUGCGGGUUGGUAAUUAUUAAAACCCGCUGCGGGUGGGUUUUAAAAAAAAAUUAAAACCCGCGGCGGGUUGCGGGUGGGUUUGGUAAUUUAAAUUUUGUGCGGGUUUGGGUUUGAUAAUGGCAAAUCCGCUGCGGGCGGUGCCCAUUGCCAUCCCUAGUCCCAAAUCACAAAGUGUCUUGCCACUGUAUUUAGUUCCUAUGGAACAACGAAUUGUGAAACUUCCUGGAUCAUUCAACUUCUGAGGCAUUUUACUCUGAAGCAUAUGGCUGAAUUCUUGUGUUAGACCAACUAUUUCAAAUUCUCCGAGCCUCAUUUUCCUUGCCAAUAUACAUUUCCAAAACUUUACAUAAUUUGGCAUUUGUUCUAAUGCUUCCACAAAAGGAAUGUUGAUAUGCAGUUAUUUCAAUACUUCCAAGAAUUUACUGAACUGCUUGUCUUGCUUUCGCUUUUGAAAUCUUCGUGGGAAGGAUGGUGAUGUGUAAAUUGUUGUACUGCAGCAGACUAUACAUAUUGCUUUUCUCUUGCUCUAUUAUGGUAUGUUAUUGUUGGUGCUGCAGCUUCUUCCUCAACAAGCACUGAAUCAUGUUUUUUUUGCAGUUGCUAUAACUUAGCAACUCUCACCAGUGUGCUGGAAAAUGGGUUGUUGUGUCUCUUCUUUAAUUUGAGUUUCCCCUUGGGUUGAAUUAGGUUCCACUCUUCUUUUUAGUACUUUAACAAGUAUAUGAACAUCCUUUCCAGACCUUAAGUUAAUCCCCUUACAAUGCUCUUUUCCUUCUCUUUCGAUCCUCUGUAUUGUUUAGUAAAUUGUCCUAAGGUAUGUUGCUCAAUGUUGUAGCAAGCUGUCCAAUCUUAUUCUCCAAGUUUCUUAAAAAUACAGCUUGGCUUUAGACCACUACUUCAAUCUUCACAAUAUACUCCUUAAUCAGAGUUUCAAUGGAACUAAAUUGAUCAUUACUGGUGUUUCUUUACCCUUAAAAUUUCUGGUGAAAAUCAGGUGGCUGAGCAAGUCAGUUCUGUCCACUGGAUGCUGCAGCAUGCUGAUUCUGAUUGCUCCUUUUAAAAUUUGGGUGAUGUCUCCAUCCUAGGUUAUAGGUGUUUGAAAAUGGAUUGCUUUGAUUUUGUUUAUUAAAAUUGCCCACAUAAUUGACGGAAGCUGAAUUCCUAGGACAAUUAUCAUAUAGAUGUCCCUCUCCAUAAUAAACACAAGAGACUUCAGCAAUUUGGUUAACUGUUGUUGGAGCAGUGGCCGUUGCUUUUACCAUAUUUUGUCAAUGAGGUUACUUGGGCUGAUAAUGUUGUCAGUGCAUCCACAUUGUGUACUCCUGCUGCUCCUCUCACUAUGGCUUGUCUAGUUGAUGGCCAUUGAUAGUUAUCCUUUCUAAAAUUUCAUAAGCCUCAUUAUAUGAGUUAGACAAUAAAGCCCCUAGUUAUUGAGUUCAACCCAUUGUAGAAAGUUUCCAAUUGUAUGCAAUAAGGAAUACCAUGAUGAGGGCAUCUCCUGAGUAACUCCUUGAAUCUUUCUCAUGCAUCAUACAAGCUUUCAUCUUCAAGUUGAUGGAAAGAUGUGAUCUCAUUCUUCAACUUUGCAUUCUUUGUUGGUGGGAAAUAUUUCAUCAAAAUUUUGUCAGCCAAAUAAUUUCAUGUGGUGAUGGAGUCUGGUUGUAAAGAACUCCACUGUACCAACUAAAAUUGAUUUCACAAAACACAAUAAGCACCAAUCCCUGGCAACGGCGCAAAAAACUUGUUGUCGAUUUUCUAAUGCUAUUAGUGUCAAUGUGAAAAUGUACACAACAAGUAAUAUAACGAUAAGUAUUCACUCCACAAGGAUUAUUAUUAGGAAUUGCUACAGUAAUUCUAUCAGUGCCAUUCUUAUUAUAAAUUAGAAUUUAAACAAAUUAUUCAACUAANAGAAAAUCUAGAUUUUAGUAAGGAAUAUCAAGUUAUUUAUACAAUGAAAAUUGUUAAAACUCGAUUAAUUGCAAGGAAACACUUUUAGAGAGAUAUGGAGAGAAUAAACUUUGAAGAUAACAAUGAAAUACAUGACACAUUUAAGGAAGAAAAUAUAAUAGUAUUAAUAGAAUCUAUUUUAACCGGUCUUAAGAUAAUUCAAGAUUGAUGCAAAAUAAAUAACAGGACUCUAAACCGUCCAUAAUAAGUCUAUUGAUUAAUAAUAACAAUAAUAGUGAUGUGAAAUUUUUAUUCAGAAUGCUCAAUUUAGAUUAUAAUAUCUAUGUGAAAGCAUUGAUGGCAUGUACCUUGGUUAGGAAAAUAGAUUGGACACAUGGAUAUAUAUGUUGGAAGAACAAAUCUAGUUUAUAUCUCAAGAGAGAUAAUAAAUUAUAAAUGACGGUGCUAUAGUAUAUUCAGAUUUUAUAAAUCUUAUAAAUUUAAUAAUCAUUUAGAUCUUCAUAAUAUUAUAAUAAAACUUUAAAAAACUUUAAAAAUAUAUGUAGAAGAGAUGGAAGAAGAAAUCAUCCAAUUAUUCAAAAUCAAUUAAACAAAAAUAGAAGGUAAAAUCCUUGAAUUAUAUAAAUUAUACAAUUUCACAGAAAUUUGCAUAUAUUGCGAAACGGUCCUUGUGGCACUAAUUAUGGGACUAGUGUAGCAUAAAUACUAAUAUUGCUUUUUAUUUUGUAAAUUAAUUGUUGCGUCAUAAUUUUUUUACAUACACAUUUUAUGUUUUAAAUAUGAUUUUUUUUUUGUAUUUAGGGUUAAUUUACAAUUUCAUACUUUGUUCAAUUAUAUGUACAGGUCCUUCACGUGUUGGUUGAUGUUGAAUAUUCAAAGAUCCACAAGCUAUCAACGACAACGAAUCAAAUUAAACUAAUUAGUUAAUACAUAAUGACUGGGUUGUUUCCUAUGUUGUUAAUGAUGUAUAACGUUAUUUUAGGAUUUUAGAAUUUUAAUUUUUAGGUCUUCUGAUAUUUUCUUUUUUAAUUAAAUUAGUGUCUUAGUUUUUUAUUUAUUUAUGUUAUAAUUAUAAUUUACUUUCUCUUUUUAAGUUAACUUAGGAAAAUAUAUUUACUGUAUUAUAAAUAAAGAGAUCUUGUUAUUACUUUAUAACUUCAACUUCAGUUAUUCAAUUAAAACCCCUCUUUUAUAAUUUCCUUUUGUAUUAUCUAUUUAAAACCCUCUUUUUAAAGUUGUUUGAUUAGAGCAUCAUCUAGCCUUGCUUAACGCAGUAUAAAAAAUCCCUUUGAGUUUAAUCACACGUCGAUUAGAGCGUAACUUAAUCGCAUUGACUUGGUCCAUGACUUGAACGAUAUCUAGUGUUUUGCUUCCGCUAUGCCCAAGGAGAAAAUUAAUUUCACCGUGAGAUAAGAGCAUUAAAAGGAAUUCAUAAGAAAUUUAAAUUAAAGCUAUAUAUGUUAAAUAUAUCGCUAGCUACUUGUUUUUGGAGGAAUUAAAACAAUUAAUAAGCUGCGAAGUGAAAAUGAAUAAAUAAAUGAAAUGAGGUUGAAAAUAAGUCUCGCCGCCUGGAUCCAAGGCCAAAACAUUCAUGAUAAGUUAGGUAAUUAAGUACAUGUUUUCAAGCUCUUCAUGAAGAAUAACGUUAUUGAAAUAAAUCACAAAGACUCCCUGCGCAAAUUAUUACAUUGAUUAAAAAAAAAAGCCAUAUCUUUAACAGGAUCGUGACUCUCGGACUGUUAAUUACUUUAUUCCCUGCUUGGCCAACAGCUGGCCACUAAACAAAAUCAUAAAAAUUUUAAAUUUAGUCAAAUUGGUCCCACUUGAUGACAUCCUUUUCAUACAUAAAAUUGUUAACGUCAAGGUUAAAUAUGAGAAGUUUGGUAGAGAAGGUAAAAAGGAAGUCUAUAUAAGGAGGGGAACGAGCUUUGUUUAUAGCACAAGUGAAACUCCACUUUAUUGAACGAUGGGGUCUCAAAUGGGCUGCCUCUUUGCCACUCUUUUGGUAGUAUCAGUCUCUCUUAGCUACUUGCCGUUAGAAGCCUCCGCAAACAAAUACUACUACACAUCUCCUCCCCCUCCCAAGUACAAGUCUCCACCACCACCCCGCCACCGGUUCACAAUUCUCCACCACCACCCCCGGUUUACCUGCCCCCGCCACCUCCUCCACCAGUCUACGUGCCUGCUCCGGCACCAACUCCAAUUUUCCCUUCUCCGCCACCUCCUGUCCCCAAGUCCCCACCACCACCUCACCCUUACGUCUAUGCAUCUCCCCCUCCUCCUUACUACUACUAGAAAGCGGCCAUGAAUAGCUCAUGCUUUUAUGGUAAUCUCAUUUAUUUUUAAAACUGUACAUGUAAAGACUAGUAGUUCAGAAUUACAUUAAGCAUUUCAAUUUUUAAGCACCGUGUUCUGUUUAAUUGCGUUCCUAUUGAUUAAGUGACAAAUAAAAGAGAUUGAUUAAUUUGUUCUUGUAGGAGAGGCGAAUGGUAUCCGAAUAAGAAAGCAAGGGUUUGAUGGAAGGCUUUACUUGGAGCAAGAUAGCGAUCAAUCGAGUUGCUGCGUUUUAUUCUCUUUUAUCUUUGUUUUUUAAGAAAAUAAACUGCCACACGUAGAAACAGAAAAUUAAGUUCUUGUCAUUUUCAUGCAUAUGGAUUGUUGCUGUGUGUGUCAAUCAAAUCUCCGUUGUGUCAUUUGUAAUUUUCAACCUUUAUGCAUGCAAAUGCGAGACCUCUUACGUAUAAUAAAAUUAAUAUACUUCCCAAGAUGGUCUUAUCUUGCGUUGACUUUUUACGUUCCUUUUGUGAUGAUUUUGACGUUUGAAAUUGAUGACUAAUUGACUAUUGUUUUUGUAAACUCUGACAUGGAUUUUUUCGUGCAACUACAGAGCGCAUUAACGAGAGACUUAUCCAUGAGGGUCCAUGCAGAUCAGUGUCUAAUUAACCAAUAAUUAAUAUAACUAAAAAAAUAUAGAGUUAACUUUUUUAUGGGUCAGGCUCAAUUGCAGAUGUUCGUACAAAAUUUCUUGCUAAUGUAUACUUGAGUAUGAUAAUAAGUUUUAAUCAUUAUUAAUAAUUCACUUGAUAAUAUUAAACAAAUUUUCAUAUCAAUUAAGUUACAAAAUUUCUGUGACAAAUUUCCGCGUACUGGAACCAUGCAAAAGGGCUUUAUUCAAACAAAACUGCAUAGCCGUUUGGCAAUUAAAAUUAUUUAUCAAUUAAGUUAAGUAGUAAGAAUUGGAUUGUGGAUUCCAUUAAUUAUUUCAAGGAAAAUUUUAUAGAUAAUGCCGUAAUGAAAUUUACGGCAUCAAUACCAUGAUAAAUAUAAAUAUUGUAAAUUACAAAUAGAAUUAGUAAAUGUAAAGUAAACCAGUAAAUUCAUAAAAGAUUAUUAAUUAUUUAAAAAAUUAACAUUGUUUCUACAUAAUUUUAGUGAAAAAUAUUUUAUUCAUUUACAAAAACAUUUCUUUAAUUAAACAAAAAAAUUCAUUAAUUAAGCAAAAAAAUUAUACUGAAAAAAAAGUGGAAUAAGUUUAAUUGAAUUGGUUAUCAUAAAUUCUAUAUUUAGUCUAGGACAUUUUUAUACAUUUUCUUCCCAUUUUCGAUAAUGAUAUCUAUUUGUUACACAUGUUAAUUAAGUGCAAUUAUUUAUCUUGAUGUGGAUCAAGUAAAAAAAUAUCAUAAAUAAGAUAUCAAUAAAAUUAGAUCUAAUUUUGAAUAUUAUGUAUACUUUAUGUAGUUUCAAACUUUUUACUUGUAUUUGGAGACCAUUUAAGGUUGUUGUUGAAGAAGUGUAGAAAGAUGUAAAAUAACUUCAUCUUACAACAACUAUGAAAGAUAUUAAAAUAAUAAUUUUUUCAAAAUCCGAUUUUGAGAAAAAAAUUCAUCCUUAAUUAAACAUCACAUGUAUUAUAGAAAUGCAAAACUACCAUUGUUAUAUUUAACUUAAAAAAUAAAAAUAUAUAAGGUAAUAAACAUUAUAAAGAGUUUUUAUUUUAAAAUUGUAAACUUUUGUUUCUGACAAUAACUCUUAUAUUAAUUUAUUUAUUUUGCCUUUUAUUCAUAAGUUUUAUGCAUAAUUUACAAACUUUAAGUUUUAUUUUGCAUUUUAUGUUGAUUUGGUUUUUUUAUAUUAUACGUACAAGUUUUUUUUUAUUUACCAGUAAUACAUCAAUUUAUCAGCUUGAUAGUAAUUUACUUAUUUUACCUUCCUUUUACAAUUCUUAUGUUUCAUUUCCAAAAUUUAUGUUUUAUUUUACAGUUGUUGAUGAUUUACUAGUUUUAUGUUAUGUUUGCAAGUUUUUGUUUUGUUUACUAGUAAUAGAUUAAUGGGUAAUUUUUAAUUGAGUCCUCAUUAGUUCUAGAAAAACAAUUCAGAGACCAGAAGUUUACUAAAUGAAUCAAUUAAAUUCUUUCAAGUACAAACUAAUGUCAUUCAAGUCCUUAACUUAAUUGGUCAGUUAAAAAUAUUAACAACGUUGAGGACAUUUUAGUAAAACAACAAUUGAGUCGUUUCUCAUUCUUUAUUUUUGACAGGUGGAAAUAGUUUAAAGUAAACUCACUUAACCUGAUUAAGUUAAGGAUCAGUUCUUUCAAAUGAAAAAAAAAAAAAAAACCUACAGAAACUGCCAUAUUCUUCGUGUGGGAGGAGAGAUCGAGAGAACGUGGGAUGGUGCAAAAAAUGUUGUAUAAAUCUACUGUGAUUUUGACCAAAGCUUUGGUAGCAUUGAUUGAGUUCAAGUACUGGAGAGAACCUGAGUUUAAAGGUUAGUAACUCUAUUUUUUUAGUGAUUUCUGCAAGCAUUUUCUGAUAAAAAAUUUUCCGUAUUGAGUGAUCGUUGUGAAAAAUUAAGUUUUUCAAGUCUAUUUUACAAAAUGACAAACUAUGUUUAAUUAUUGGUGGAUUCUUUUUUUUGUUCAAUGUUGUAUUUUGUUAAUUUGUUGUUUUUAAUUUGCUCUUAAUGUAAUUGUUAGACCAAAUACACCAUUAUUAUACCUGUAUUCAUUUCAACAAUUUGGUAUCGUUAUAUUAAUAAGAUUGAAUUCAUUGUAUUUGCUUCUUUGUUCAUGUAAAAUUGAAUUCUAUGUAUUCUUAUGAGUGAUAAUUUUUCUAUCUAUUAGACUAAAUUCACUAUAUUCACUACUUUCUUUCUUUUUGCUGGGCUAUUUUUUCUUUUUAGUUAUAUUUUUUAUAUGUAUUAGAUUGAAUUUGCUUUUGUACGUUUUUUUAGCCGAAUUACAUGUAUAUUUCAUUUAGGUUGAGUUUUUUUUGUUGUUUGCUAAAUAAAAUUAUAUUGGUUUAUCCCUUUUUUAUGCAAUACUUUUUGUUUAAAAUUAAUACAGUUAGCCAUGUUACCUUUUUUUUCGGUUAAAAUUAAUGGGGUGAUGUAGGCGAUAGGAUAUAGGGAACCAGAGGAAUAUAAGAUUAUUAGGCUGUUUCUUGAAAUUCAAGAUGUCAUGGUUAAGCAUGGACACAGUGAAAUGGAUUUGAUUGAAAUUUUUGUUGUAUUGCCAUGGACUACAAGUGGCCAGAGGAAGCUAAUUUCAAACGAUAGUGAAUUGUAUUGGGUUUUCGAGGAGUUUUUUUUAAUCAAUAGUUGUCCUGUCAUUGAGUUUGAGGUGCACACUGGGUCAGGUGGUCAGUCAUUUCAUGAAAGUGUUGUAAUAGGACCUGAAAAUCCUGUCAAUAUUAAAAAUUAGUGUUGUAAUAGUGAUAAGUUUGAAAAUGUUGUGGCUAAAAAGGUCUGCCUAGAAUAAUUGGUACUUCUUUAUUUGCCUCAAAGUCCAACACUAUGAAAUCCACAAGGAAAAAGAAUUUAUCCACUUUAACCAGCACGUCUUCAAUCUUGCCUUCAGGAUAAGCAUGAGAUCUGGCAGCACAUUGCAAUGUCACUGUGGUUGGUUUGACUUCUCCAACUCCCAAUUGCUUGAAUUCUGAUAAUGUCAUAAGAUUGAUGCUUGCUCCCAAACCACAAAGUGUCUUGCCACUGUAUUUAGUUCCUAUGGAACAAUGAAUUGUGAAACUUCCUGGAUCCUUCAACUUCUGAGGCAUUUUACUCUGAAGCAUAUGGCUGCAUUCUUGUGUUAGACCAACUAUUUCAAAUUCUCCGAGCCUCAUUUUCCUUGCCAAUAUACAUUUCCAAAACUUUACAUAAUUUGGCAUUUGUUCUAAUGCUUCCACAAAAGAAAUGUUGAUAUGCAGUUCUUUCCAUACUUCCAAGAAUUUACUGAACUGCAUGUCUUGCUUUCGCUUUUGAAAUCUUGUGGGAAGGGUGGUGGAAUGUGUAAAUUGUUGUACUGCAGCAGACUAUACAUAUUGCUUUUCUCUUGCUCUAUUAUGGUAUGUUAUUAUUGGUGUUGCAGCUUCUUCUCAACAAGCAUUGAAUCAUGUUUUUUGCAGUUGCUAUAACUUAGCAACUUCUCACCAGUGUGCUGGAAAAUGGGUUGUUGUGUCUCUUCUUUAAUUUGAGUUUCCCCUUGGUUGAAUUAGGUUCCACUCUUCUUUUGGUACUUUAACAAGUAUAUGAACAUCCUUUCCAAACCUUAAGUUAAUCCCUUACAAUGCUCUUUUCCUUCUCUCUUUCGAUCCUCUGUAUUGUUUAGUAAAUUGUCCUGAGGUAUGUUGCUCAAUUUUGUAGCAAGCUGUCCAAUCUUAUUCUCCAAGUUUCUUAAAAAUACAGCUUGGCUUUAGGACCACUACUCCAAUCUUUACAAUAUACUCCUUAAUCAGAGUUUCAAUGGAACUAAAUUGAUCAUUACUGGUGUUUCUUUACCCUUCAAAUUUCUGUUGAAAUCAGGUGGCUGAGCAGUCUGUUCUGUCCACUGGAUGCUGCAGCAUGCUGAUUCUGAUUGCUCCUUUUUAAAAUUUGGGUGAUGUCUCCAUCCUAGGUUAUAGGUGUUUUGAAAAUGGAUUGCUUUGAUUUUGUUUAUUAAAUUGCCCACAUAAUUGACGGAAGCUGAAUUCCUAGGACAAUUAUGAUAUAGAUGUCCCUCUCCAUAAUAAACACAGAGACUUCAGCAAUUUGGUUAACUGUUGCCGGAGCAGUGGCCGUUGCUUUUACCAUAUUUUGUCAAUGAGGUUACUUGGGCUGAUAAUGUUGUCAGUGCAUCCACAUUUGUGUACUCCUGCUGCUCCUCUCACUGUGGCUUGUCUAGUUGAUGGCCAUUGAUAGUUAUCCUUUUCUAAAAUUUCAUAAGCCUCAUUAUAUGAGUUAGACAAUAAAGCCCCUAGUUAUUGAGUUCAACCCAUUGUAGAAAGUUUCCAAUUGUAUGCAAUAAGGGAAUACCAUGAUGAGGGCAUCUCCUGAGUAACCCUUGAAUCUUUUCUCAUGCAUCAUACAAGCUUUCAUCUUCAAGUUGAUGGAAAGAUGUGAUCUCAUUCUUCAACUUUGCAUUCUUUGUUGGUGGGAAAUAUUUCAUCAAAAGUUUGUCAGCCAAAUAAUUCCAUGUGGUGAUGGAGUCUGGUUGCAAAGAACUCCACUGUACCAACUAAAAUUGAUUUUCACAAAACACAAUAAGCACCAAUCCCCGGCAACGGCGCAAAAAACUUGUUGUCGAUUUUCUAAUGCUAUUAGUGUCAAUGUGAAAAUGUACACAACAAGUAAUAUAACGAUAGUAUUCACUCCACAAGGAUUAUUAUUAUAGGAAUUGCUACAGUAAUUCUAUCAGUGCCAUUCUUAUUAUAAAUUAGAAUUUAAACAAUUAUUCAACUAAUGAACUAAGGCAGAUCUUAUUGGGCUAGUCGGCAAUGUGUUGCUUUAGGUCGUGUGGAAUAGUUGCGGGAGUGAUCUUGCAUGAUGUGUGGAGCUAUAACAGUGCUGAGCAUGGGCCAAUCUAUGGGCUCAUGGAACUAGCGAACCUAAUCUAGAAUUUCGAGGAAGAGUACUCUGGUUAGUACUCUAAAUUACCUUAUUAUAUUUUGCACAAACAGAGGCAUGUUAGUGAAAUAAUAUCUAAGCAACCCAAGAGGGGGGUGAAUUGGGUUUCUAAAAUUAUGCAAUUCUUAACAAAACUUAAUGCAAAUCUUAAACGAAUUUAAAGCAAUAAUACAUAAAUCAACAAGGUAUAAAAAGAUAAGGGAAGAGAGAUUAAAACACAGAGAGUUUUACGUGGUUCGGCCAACCUUGCCUACAUCCACACCCCAAGCACACCGAGCUUGGGCAUUCCACUAGUCAAGCCUUCAAGGCUUCAAGAACACUUACAAUUGACUUCUUAGGUGUCAAUCAACCUUUACAUCUAGAGAUUAUCCCCAAUCUCUUAACCCAAGUGUAUCCCAAUAUUUACAAUCACUCAAAUAAAGAUUACAAUUUAUUUUUCUCUCACACAAUUUUUUAAGAUUACAAAUCAACGCUUAAUGUGUGAAUAAAUGAACAAGAAUGAAUUUGAAGCUCAAUGAAUGUUGUAUUCUCGAUUAUAAGCUCAAUGAUAACGUUGUGAUAAGCUCUUGUUUGAAUUUGAUUGAUCUUAUUUAUAGUUGGAGUUGAAAAAUAGCCAUUGUUGACUUUUUCCCGAAAUUGGAUCGCCGUUAACCGUUAUCGGUUAACCGUUUUGACUGGUCAAGUGACCGUUGAGCUGAAUUUCAAAAUAAACGGUUGAUCUUUUGACACUAUCGGUUUGCUGUUAAUUUCCAUAAACCUGUAAAACAAAUUUAUGCUAUUCGUUCUUGCUAAACGGUUGAAGGUCAGCAUGGAAUGACAUUCUAGAAAUUAUUGGUUGGCCGUUUGAAGUUCACGGUUCACCGUUUACUUCUAGAAUCACAGUUUUAACCAAAUUUCGCAGGGAAUGCUUUUUCGGUUAAAGUUAACGAUUAUCCAUAUUUCAUGAACACAUUUAGAAAAAUCAUACGACUUUUGAGAAAUUGUUUAGUAAUGAAAACUCUAACAUUUUAAUCAAAUACAUUUAAAGUUUGUUAUCAUCAAAAUCAAUAUAAUGAACAUCUACAUGUUAACAGUUAGGCCUUGAUUAUUUUUUAAAUCUUAUAAGAUAUAGAGUGAUAAUAGUAACUCAAUUUUCAUAAAACGUGGAAAGAUCAGUCGCCAAAUUUAUAGAUGCCAUAGAAAACCUAGAUUUAGUAAGGAAUAUCAAGUUAUUUAUACAAUGAAAUUGUUAAAACUCGAUUAAUUGCAAGGAAACACUUUUAGAGAGAUAUGGAGAGAAUAAACUUUGAAGAUAACAAUGAAAUACAUGACACAUUUAAGGAAGAAAAUAUAAUAGUAUUAAUAGAAUCUAUUUUAACCGGUCUUAAGAUAAUUCAGAUUGAUGCAAAAUAAAUAACAGGACUCUAAACCGUCCAUAAUAAGUCUAUUGAUUAAUAAUAACAAUAAUAGUGAUGUGAAAUUUUUAUUCAGAAUGCUCAAUUUAGAUUAUAAUAUCUAUGUGAAAGCAUUGAUGGCAUGUACCUUGGUUAGGAAAAUAGAUUGGACACAUGGAUAUAUAUGUUGGAAGAACAAAUCUAGUUUAUAUCUCAAGAGAGAUAAUAAAUUAUAAAUGACGGUGCUAUAGUAUAUUCAGAUUUUAUAAAUCUUUAUAAAUUUAAUAAUCAUUUAGAUCUUCAUAAUAUUAUAAUAAAACUUUAAAAAACUUUAAAAAUAUAUGUAGAAGAGAUGGAAGAAGAAAUCAUCCAAUUAUUCAAAAUCAAUUAAACAAAAAUAGAAGGUAAAAUCCUUGAAUUAUAUAAAUUAUACAAUUUCACAGAAAUUUUGCAUAUAUUGCGAAACGGUCCUUGUGGCACUAAUUAUGGGACUAGUGUAGCAUAAAUACUAAUAUUGCUUUUUAUUUUGUAAAUUAAUUGUUGCGUCAUAAUUUUUUUACAUACACAUUUUAUGUUUUAAAAUAUGAUUUUUUUUUUGUAUUUAGGGUUAAUUUUACAAUUUCAUACUUUGUUCAAUUAUAUGUACAGGUCCUUCACGUGUUGGUUGAUGUUGAAUAUUCAAAGAUCCACAAGCUAUCAACGACAACGAAUCAAAUUAAACUAAUUAGUUAAUACAUAAUGACUGGGUUGUUUCCUAUGUUGUUAAUGAUGUAGAACGUUAUUUUAGGAUUUUAGAAUUUUAAUUUUUAGGUCUUCUGAUAUUUUCUUUUUUAAUUAAAGUUAGUGUCUUAGUUUUUUAUUUAUUUAUGUUAUAAUUAUAAUUUACUUUCUCUUUUUAAGUUAACUUAGGAAAAUAUAUUUACUGUAUUAUAAAUAAAGAGAUCUUGUUAUUACUUUAUAACUUCAACUUCAGUUAUUCAAUUAAAAACCCCUCUUUUAUAAUUUCCUUUUGUAUUAUCUAUUAAAAACCCCUCUUUUAAGUUGUUUGAUUAGAGCAUCAUCUAGCCUUGCUUAACGCAGUAUAAAAAAUCCCUUUGAGUUUAAUCACACGUCGAUUAGAGCGUAACUUAAUCGCAUUGACUUGGUCCAUGACUUGAACGAUAUCUAGUGUUUUGCUUCCGCUAUGCCCAAGGAGAAAAUUAAUUUCACCGUGAGAUAAGAGCAUUAAAAGGAAUUCAUAAGAAAUUUAAAUUAAAGCUAUAUAUGUUAAAUAUAUCGCUAGCUACUUGUUUUUGGAGGAAUUAAAACAAUUAAUAAGCUGCGAAGUGAAAAUGAAUAAAUAAAUGAAAUGAGGUUGAAAAUAAGUCUCGCCGCCUGGAUCCAAGGCCAAAACAUUCAUGAUAAGUUAGGUAAUUAAGUACAUGUUUUCAAGCUCUUCAUGAAGAAUAACGUUAUUGAAAUAAAUCACAAAGACUCCCUGCGCAAAUUAUUACAUUGAUUAAAAAAAAAAGCCAUAUCUUUAACAGGAUCGUGACUCUCGGACUGUUAAUUACUUUAUUCCCUGCUUGGCCAACAGCUGGCCACUAAACAAAAUCAUAAAAAUUUUAAAUUUAGUCAAAUUGGUCCCACUUGAUGACAUCCUUUUCAUACAUAAAAUUGUUAACGUCAAGGUUAAAUAUGAGAAGUUUGGUAGAGAAGGUAAAAAGGAAGUCUAUAUAAGGAGGGGAACGAGCUUUGUUUUAUAGCACAAGUGAAACUCCACUUUAUUGAACGAUGGGGUCUCAAAUGGGCUGCCUCUUUGCCACUCUUUUGGUAGUAUCAGUCUCUCUUAGCUACUUGCCGUUAGAAGCCUCCGCAAACAAAUACUACUACACAUCUCCUCCCCCUCCCAAGUACAAGUCUCCACCACCACCCCCGCCACCGGUUCACAAUUCUCCACCACCACCCCCGGUUUACCUGCCCCCGCCACCUCCUCCACCAGUCUACGUGCCUGCUCCGGCACCAACUCCAAUUUUCCCUUCUCCGCCACCUCCUGUCCCCAAGUCCCCACCACCACCUCACCCUUACGUCUAUGCAUCUCCCCCUCCUCCUUACUACUACUAGAAAGCGGCCAUGAAUAGCUCAUGCUUUUAUGGUAAUCUCAUUUAUUUUUAAAACUGUACAUGUAAAGACUAGUAGUUCAGAAUUACAUUAAGCAUUUCAAUUUUAAGCACCGUGUUCUGUUUAAUUGCGUUCCUAUUGAUUAAGUGACAAAUAAAAGAGAUUGAUUAAUUUGUUCUUGUAGGAGAGGCGAAUGGUAUCCGAAUAAAGAAAGCAAGGGUUUGAUGGAAGGCUUACUUGGAGCAAGAUAGCGAUCAAUCGAGUUGCUGCGUUUUAUUCUCUUUUAUCUUUGUUUUUUAAGAAAAAUAAACUGCCACACGUAGAAACAGAAAAUUAAGUUCUUGUCAUUUUCAUGCAUAUGGAUUGUUGCUGUGUGUGUCAAUCAAAUCUCCGUUGUGUCAUUUGUAAUUUUCAACCUUUAUGCAUGCAAAUGCGAGACCUCUUACGUAUAAUAAAAUUAAUAUACUUCCCAAGAUGGUCUUAUCUUGCGUUGACUUUUUACGUUCCUUUGGUGAUGAUUUUGACGUUUGAAAUUGAUGACUA
rnacentral:lncRNA from 1 species